rnacentral:lncRNA from 1 species
ACAAAGUCAUUUGCAAACGAAGAUCGAAGCCCGACGAUGACAGAGUCGAUCUCUCCUACUAGGGCGAUAGAUCUGACGGCAAAAGCCCGAUCGUCCCUAGAAGAAGCUCAACAAAGUCAUUUCUGCAAACGAAGAUCGAAGCCCGACGAUGACAGAGUCGAUCUCUCCUACUAGGGCGAUAGAUCUGACGGCAAAAGCCCGAUCGUCCCUAGAAGAAGCUCAACAAAGUCAUUUCUGCAAACGAAGAUCGAAGCCGACGAUGACAGAGUCGAUCUCUCCUACUAGGGCGAUAGAUCUGACGACAAAAGCCGAUCGUCCCUAGAAGAAGCUCAAAAGUCAUUCCUGCAAAAAAAAAAAAAAAAAAACAAAAAAAACAAAACAACACAAAAAAAACAAAACAAAACAAAACAGAAUUAAAAAAAGCAAAACAAAAAAAAAACACACACACAAAAAAAGAGAAAAAAGAGAAAGGGAGAAGAAAAGUUUUCUAUACCUUUCUGCUGAUUGGAUGAGGUAUAAGUGAGUAGGGUGUGAGUCUAUUUAUAAGUCCAACAAAUCCAAUUUUUAAAAGGAUUAGGAAUGAUAUUUAAUUAUUUUUUUUAAAAAAAAAACAAAUCCAAUUCCUAAAAGGAAUAGGAUUGAUUUUAAAUAUAUAUAUAUAUAUAUAAAGAAAAGAUAAUCCAAUUAUCUUAUUUUAUUUUAAAUUAUUUCUUUUUUUUUUGUUGGAUAAAUCUCAAGUUUAACUUUUAUUGAGAUAUUUAAAAUAUUUAAAAAUUUCAACAUUUAAAAAUAUAUAUAUAUAGAUAAAUAUUCUCAAUUUCAAAAUUCAAGUUAAAUUAACUUGCAUAUAUGACCUCAUUUUUAUCAUGAAUUUAAAUCGGAGCAUAAAUCCAACUUUACCUAAGAUUGAGGACCUGAUUUUUUAUCUCAAAUUAAAAUUGGUCAUUCCAAAUUCUUAUGCAUCCCCAAGAUAAAUUAAGGUACGGUAGAAACUUUAUCCUUAUUUCAAAAUUAAAAUUUUGGUUAUAUUCCAAAUUUUACUUAAAAAAAAUCAUCAUAUUAAAAAUUUUUUUUAUCCUCAAAUAAAAUUAAGUUAGGAAUAAAACUUUGAAUUUUUUUAAGGUUUGGCCAUAUUCCAACCCUUAUUUUAAAUUGAAAUCAAACUCACGUACUAAAUUCAAGUUUGAUUAAUUUGAUAUAUUGAAUUGAGUAAAAAAAAAAAAAAAAAAGAAGCUCGUACUUUGACUUCAAAUUUAUCUUUUCGAGAUUCAUUCACCCAUAUACGUGCAUAAAUCUCGAAAAGGGGGCAUUUGUUGAAUAAGAAAUUUUGAGACUAAUCACUAGUUGCCAUAUCAUUUAUUAAGUUAAUGAUGAAAAGUACAAAUAAUUAAAUUUGGGACUAAUUAAAAUUGACAUAUGCUCCAAAUUAAAGAGUUGAAAAUAAAUAAAAUGGUCAUUCUAAUAAUGCCACAUGUUUUCAUAUUAAUAGUUGGAUUAAGUUAAUCAUUUUAGUUCAAUUAAAUAUUAUUUACUUGGACUAAGUUCAAUUAAGCCCAAAAAAUAAGCUUAAUUGAACCCAAAGACUAAAUAUAACCUAAGUCCAUAUGGUUGAGCCCAUGGGUCUGGUCCAUGGACCAACCAGGUUCAAACCCAUAAAGCCCACCAGUGAAAUCUAUAAAUAGAGGAAUUCUCCUCAUUUGUAGGGGUUGGAAAUUUUGACUCUAGAAGAUCCAGAGAGAAUUCUUCAAAGAGCUAGAAGACUCCCUAACUCCUGAAGUCGACCAUCCUCGAAGAUUGAAGCUUCUUUAAAGAUACAAGCUUUCUUCAAGGCUUCAACUUCAAGAACAUCACGUGCUUCGCUUCCUCAAAUCAAGCUGAAGCAUCCAGUUGAGAGAGAAUCAGAGGAUCAAAUUCUAGAGAUUGAACCGCAUCGCAUCAAAUCAACAAAAUACAACAUCAAACUCAAGUUCAAGUCCACGAAUUAAAUUCUCCGAAAAUCUCGUGCGAACACAUAUAUUUCUAAAUAAAUUUAUUCGACGAAAGUGGCUAGAUUGGUGGGUUCGACGGCGAAGGCUUGUUGUGGCAGCAACGACAACAGUGGUUGGAGUGUGGAAUCGACGACGACAAGUGGCAAAAAAUUGGAAGGCAAGGGUUCUUCAUAACGACUCGGUAGCCCACUUCGUUCGACGAGAUUUUUUUGCAUUUUUGGUAGAGUGAGAAAAAAUUGCAUUAAGACUUCAUUCGACGACAUCGUUUUUGCUUAAGAGAAAAUUUGAUGUUUUUACUUAGUUGUAAUUGCGUGAGAGAGGGAAAUUAAAAAAUUUUGAAAUUUGAGGUUUUUUCAUUUGAAAUUUUUUUUAAUGACAAAAAAAUUGUCGUUAAUUAAUGACCCAAAAAUUGUGUGAAAUAAAUUAAAUUGUGUCAAUAGAAUUGUUUUAAGAAAUAAUCCAUAUUUUUAUUUUCAACAACACAUGUACCUCAUCCACCUCUUUUUUCUUUUAUUUUCAACGACACAAUGUCUUGAUUAAAAUCCAUUUUUCUAGUGACAAAUGUAUCCAUACCAAAGUGGGAAGCAGCUAAGGGGACGAAGGUAUAUUCGGAGAGAGAUUGUUAAACAAUUGUAAAAAGUAAGCCCAAGAAGAGAGGUCCAAUAAAAUUCAGCCACCUCUCACAUAGUAAUUGAAAUAGUCUAGCAAUUUCAACCAUUUCCCUCACAGAGAAGAAGAAGACCAUAGCCACUCGAGGCUUUUGCACAUACAAACACCAAGAAGAUGGUGUCCGGUUCCGUACCUGUGCUAAGCGCGUCGUUGUUGACAUAAAGUUUCUAUAUACAAAGCUAUGUAUCUCUACCCUUGACUUCUCUUUCUCUCUUUCUACCUUUUUUAUCCUUUCUUUCUCCCAUUCACUCAAUACACUUGCAAGAACCUUCAUUUUUUUUGUAUUUAAAUUUUCUUGGCACCAUCCUUUUUUAAUUAUCAAGGCUUUGUUAUUGUGUACCUGUAUUGUGUCGUGCCUCCUUCACUUCUCAUCAUCAUUUUCAUGUCACAUCUCUACCUUGUCAAUUUUCGUUUUUCACUCAGCUUUCUUUCUUCAUUUGUCUUCACUACUCUCUUCGCUCCUUCUUCUCAAGCUCUAACUUUUGCUAUUAUUAACCAGUCUCAAAUGACCAUUGGAAAACCUAUAGCCCACUGAGAGGCAGCCAAUAUAGUAAUGCCUCUAAUGAUAAACUCCAAUGAAAUCAAAAGUUCUUCUUUGAGAUUUGGAAAAAUAUAUUAGAUAAAGCAUAAUUAGUUGAAAAAGAACCUUAAAAUUUUGUGUUAAACGACUACAAUUUCAUCGUAGAAUAUGCCAUAUUGACAGCAUAUUUUUCCUACAAAAACAUAUUAACUAAAAUAAGCUCAUAAACACGAAAAUGCACUAAGUGUUGGUUAACAUACACUACCUUGAAAUAUGAUGAAGACUUUAUUUCUCCCAACCAGACAGCAUAAUCAGGAGGUAGUUUGGGAGCAAACAGAAUUGACUUAAUUUCCACUAGCAAUAUCCUAUAAAAAUUUCAAAUUCUUGAAAUAUGGAAACCAAUGGAAGUUUUAGGGAAUGAAGUAUAACCUCUAAAUACAGAAGGACGACAUAAAGGGGAAUGAAGACUCGAAAGAAGGACGACGUUUUCGUAGAGAAGGACGACAAUUUUGAGGGACAACGGACACGAUUUCAGAGUAUUAGGGAUGGUAGAUGGCGAAAGUCUUAGGGAUCUCGUACUCAGUGGAUGGUGAACGACUGAAAGCGAAGGACCUAGUACGCAUUUUUGGAGAGGGCGUGUGAACGCGGAUGGACGGACGGUGAACACGGCAGAAGUGAGAGAUCCUCAUAGAGAACUUGGCAUUUUCGAAUGCGGUAGAGACAAGUCUAGGGCUUCGAAGGAUUCAACCCAAUAUUUUCUUUAUAUAUAUAUAUAUAUAUAUAAUAUAUAUUUAAUAACACUUGACGUUUUUAAAACGUAAAGAAAAACGAUUUUACUUGACGUCUAAAAAACAUCAAGAAAUUUAAAAAAUAACUCUUCUCCGGCUUUUUAUAAAAAUUCUUGACGUUUUAAAACAUAAAGAAUUUUUAAGAUAUUUCUUGACGUUUUUAAAAUGUCAAGUAAAAGUACAUAUUACUUGACGUUUGAAAAUUUUGAAGAAUGUUGAAUAUAUAAACAUUCUUGACGUUUUUAAAACGUCAAGAAAAAAUACAUAUUAGUUGAUGUUUAAUAAACGUCAAGAAAUCUGAAAAUUGACCUACCCUCGCCUUUUCUAAAAAUUCUUGACGUUUUAUCUUUGGAACUACCCCUUUCUUGACGUUUUUUGAAAAAAAAUGUCAAGAAAGAAAAACAACAAACGUCAAGAAAGGCCUUUUUUGUAGUAAUGACAUACAAUAUAUAUAUAUACAUAAAUAAAUAAAUAAAUAUAUAUAUAUAUAUAAUGAAUUAAAAUGGUUUUGUUGCUUUACUGUUUUACUCUAUAAAGGAAGAGCAUUAUAAAUAUAUUAUUGAGGAAACAUCUUUCGAAAUGACUGGUUUUGGAAGUGUCAUUAGAUUUUUAGUUAGUUAAGCACAUUUUCCUCCCAAAUAGUAGUCGAAAUACAACUGUUUUUUAAGAAGAAGAAACCGAAUCCUUCAAACUAGGAUAAAAGUCAUUAUCUAUUAACAUAGAGUUAAAGUUACAAGGUUGAAGGCUAGAGGGAAGCCUGAAACAACCUAAUCUAACAAAGCUUAAAGUUAAGAGUUGGUAGUAACAUCAUAUUAGUUACAAGAUGAAUGACGCCUAGACCAAACUUCGAUCAAGUUACAUGUGUCUUCCCACAAGUUAACAAUAAACCUUGAUUUAUCCUUAAAAAUUCUAUUGUUUCUUUCUAUCCAAACAAUCCAAAGUAAGCCAGUUAUGGAGGAGGAAUACACAUUAGAGAGCUCAAUUAUGGAUGGAGGAAUACACAACUUUUUCUCGUGGUCAUUUUCCUCGUGGGCAUUCUCUUCAUGUUUCUUCUUAUUCCGACUAAAAUACAAGCACAAAUUAUUCUUCGCCUUCGUAUAGGUUUGUUUGAAGAAGAUUAAAAAAGUCCUUAAUUUAUCUCGACACUUCCAAAACCAGAAUAUAAUACCCGUGCUACAUAAAUCCCUCUUUCCAAAUAGUCGAACAUGAACUAUCCAUGCAUAUCUUGGAAUAAACAAGAGAAACCCUAACUAAACGCAAAUAGAAAAUACGUUGCAAUCUAAAAUAUAGUUAAAGAAACAAAAAGAAGUUUUAAUGUUGUGGGUUUUUUACUGAUCUUCUUCAACAACAAAAUAACUCAACGCCACAGUUCAAUUUUUCCUUCCACGAAUUGGGUUUUUAAAGAGUUUUCACCGCGAAUAAAUUUUUUUUGGUUCGACAAGUAACAACAUGUGAAUCCCCAAAUGCAAGGUUUUAUUAAAAAUUAAAAAUAUAAUUUUUUAAAAAAAUUAUAAUACCUAAAAAUAUAUUUUUUUUAUAUUUAUAACCUAAUUUUCUGUCAUUGCAUACUUGAGAGAAAUAUAUUUUUCAAUUAGCAUAAUAACCUUUAUAUAGUAAAUUAAAUUUGUAGAAUGAGAAAAGACCUUAGAUCCAAAAAAGUUAUUUAUUUAUUAUUGGAGUGAAUUGUAUAAUUAAUGUAGUUAAUGGAUGGUUUUGUAACCAUAAAAAAAUAAUGAAAAUAAUUUUCUAAAAGAAUGAAUGAAAAUUUGGAAAGUUAAAAGGUUUUAGGAAUUAAAAAAAAGGGUGUAACAUUAUAAAAGACUACCAAAUAUACUGUAAGAGACAUGCAUUAAAGGAGCUGAGUGUCACGUGUGAAAUUUUGACCCCAAAAAUCACCCCCAAAAUUGCGCUAAUUCAUGCCACGACUCCUUCAGCAAGGCCCAGGAGCAGCCCAACGUGGUCCUAAGACAGCCUAAGGGCGACCACGACAUGUGCCUACGGCAUUGGCAUGCACCUCUCGAGGACAGCUCACAAGCCCCGCACGCGUGCCACGACGAGUGCCCAUGACAGCCGAGUGUCAGCCCACGACACAGCCCCAUAGCACGCCAGAUGCCCGUUGACACGGCCAUAGGCGCCCGGCACCAGCGCCCACCAUCGACCCAGCGCGCGCCGUGUCCGCCCAACGUCCAGACGGCCCCAGAACCUCCGAGAAGCUUCCAGAAGAAUCGGGAAGGCGCGCAACACUUCGCGUGGCGCGCACGGCGCGAACCCAACGCGCGCGCCGACGCCCCCAGAUGCUUCCAGAAGGCUCCACACAUGCCCAUGUGUGUGCUGCCCGCCCAUGCUCAGUCUAGACAACCCCAGAAGCCUCUAGAACGUUCGAGACAGUGCCAGAAUGUGCUGGAAUGCGCGGAGGCUCCCGAGAAGGCCCCGGAACGUGCUGGAUGAUGCUGGAACGUGCUGGAACACUCUAGAAGGCUAUAUGACGGUCAGCGAGUGUCAUGAAAGGUCUAGUCCUCUCUAGAAUGUUCUAGGCUUCCUUGUUAUGUACCAAAUGAACUUGUAAUCUCUAGAAUCUCCCUUGGCCGACCUUCUAAGGCCCAAGGUCGGUGGGGAUGGUCUAUAAAUACUUGGGAGGGCCUCAUUUGUAUCAAGCCUUGCAACCUUGCAUCUUGGCAUGUCUUAGCCAAGCAAGGUCACCUUGCCACCCAAAGUCUCCUUGCCCAUGGUAUCCCCAUGACAAGAAGACAGCAUAUUUGUACCCAAAUAUGUAUUCAUCUAUUGUUGGAAUGCAAUGUAUCAUUCCAAAGACGUAUCCAUCCAAACUCCCUCAUCCUUCCAACCUCUCUCAUGUCUUGCAACCAACCUUAGUACUUCCGCUGCAACCGUUGUCGUAGUGCUUGGCACACUACCCCUUCCGGGAAAGGCUUACUUGGCUACGUGGGCAUUGUAGUUAGCCAAGUGCCGCAUGUAUGGUUAGCUUCAAGAUCCUAACCACGUGACAUGAGGCAUGCAUACUACCAAAUAUACUAUAAAUAAACCAUAAUUCUUUUUUAAGAAAUUAAACAACUAAUUAAAUAUAAAGAAGAAAGAUUAGAAAAUGAAUGAUCAAACAAACUAUGACUCAUUUAUUUUUGACAGGUUCGGCCAGUAUCACCUGACAAUUCAUUUUCACCAAGAGAAUAAACAUGAGUAGCCUUGGAAUCAAGUUCCUCCGAUAAAAGCCACGGAGUUGAUGGGUUAGAGACAGAACCAGAAUUUGAGUUCAACGAUGUGGAUGGAAAAUUCUGAAACUAGGAGCAACAGGAAGUUAAGACAACGAAUUAUUUUCAAUAUAGAAAGGCUAAUUGUAAGAAGUUGUUAAUGAAGUGUCCAAAUGCAUUAUGGUAAUAUUGGGUGCAGAAUGUUUGGAAGUUUUAUCCGUGUGCUGUGAAGCACCACAGAGUUGAAGCAUAUGAAACCAGUGUUUAUCUGACAAAAAAUAGUGUCAUGAUCAUUGCCUUUCCAUUCCAUAAAUUUAUGGAUAGCAGAAGAAAGAGAACUCUCAACACUUGAAUCACCAUAUAGCACUCUACAUCCAGGUGGUGCCUUGAUUUUUGAAGAUUUAGUUAAAAGCAGUGAUAAAAUUGGUACAUAAAUUACAGUGCAUUUCUCGAUAUGCAACAACAUUAAGAGCAACUUAAAGACAACAUCAUCAAGAAAUCUAGUAUUUAAAAUGUACAAAGAGCAGUAGUAAACAUAUGUAUUUUAUGGCUGACUUUAUCCAUAAUAAAUGUUGGAUUAAAUCAUCAAAAUAAAACACAAACAGAUAAUUAUCGAGUUUUUCAAUGGAGGAUAGAGAGGAAGACAUGCAUGCACAACUACUAGAUCUAUAUGGUGCCAGACUGCCAGUAAAAAUUUAAAGACACACAUGACAACAUUAUUUUGGAUGAAGUUCUAAUAUUGCAACCAUGGAGGAAAAAUCAGCAAAUCUUAAAUAGAUGUAGUAGUCCAAAUGAUAAAAGUUUGUCUCAAGAUAAUAUUUCAGUAACUGCAGAUGCAUUGUGUUGAACCUAACCUCUUGUGUUUCACGGUAAUGAACAAGGACAAUGUGUUCAAAGGUCCUGAACAAAAAGCAGAAGCAAGUCAUAAAUUAUAUAAGUAGAACACGAUAUACUGCCACUUCUAAUUUCAUUUUUCUUUGCUUGUGGCAUGAUGGGGAUAGACCCCACUGAAACAACUGGUAGCAAGCAAUUUAACAAUUUUCUUUCAACCAUAACAUACUUAUCUAGGAGCCAAUAACACCGGCGAACAAAGGUUGGGCUAUCUAGUCCAUGGGCAUAGUAUACAUGUAUCCUUUCUACAUUACCAACCUGCCGAAGAGAAAGAAAAGAUUAUCAAAGCACACCUUUUCUUGGUUAUUAAGGCUGUAAAAGAAUGAAAAUUACCAUAAAUCUAAACACAGUUAAUAUUAGACCAUUGAACAACCUAUAGAUUCAAAAGGAAAGACUCAAACCACCAAUAGACUGGUUAAUCAUUUAAAAUGAUCUCCAACAACAUGAUACGCAGUAUAUCGUGCUAGAUCCAUAAUUACCACAUGUGGACUCCUAUGGUAAUUUCAUUGAUGAUACGCAGCUAGUAGGCAAGAUUAUGAAAUGAAGACGGUAUGUGAGAAGAUUGAAAAGAUCAACAUGAUAAAAUUAUAGGGAUUUGAAUUUAUAUCUUAAGAACACCAGAGUCAAAUGCUUAAGCUGAUUAACUGUGUUAAAUUUAACUCUAUAAUAUAUUUUAAAUCUGAACAGUCAUUAAACAACUACAUUUUGAAUAAGCUUUAGAGAAUAUUAGCAAAAACAGUAGAAAUUACUUCAAAUUUGUAGAGAGAACAUAUAAAUUAUAUUCUACAGAAACACGAGCCCAUAGCAUGUCUACUGAGUAGCAAUGACAGUGAAAAAGGGAAUAGUAAGUAACUAAUCUCAUAAACCCCUUUCUCACAUCUAACCAAGUUCUUUCAUGACAUGCAAAAGCAUCAAAAUAUUUAAGAAAACUUCCAAUAUUGCAUUUGGAACUCAUUGAUUGACUUCAACGUUUAAGAGUCAUAAAAGACACAACUUACUUUCUCACCUGUCACCACUAAGCCUACGGCAACAUCUUUUUAUAAGAUAUUCAGCUAAUCUUUAGAUUGUUUACCGAAUAAUCGUCUAUUGUUUUGUAAUUGAUCCCACCAAGCGCUUGCGCCACCUUGAAGUUUGAGAGCAACUAAUCGAACCUUCUUGUGUUCGUGGUGUAUUGGCAUAGUCGAAAAAAUUUCUACGUUCUUGAUCCAAUCAAGAAACUUCUCCACGUCCAUUCGACCAUUGAAGGUAGGGAGAUCCACUUUCAUACGUAUUUCUUGAUCUUCUUGAAAGUAUGGUCGAAGUCCAAGCCUUUGUUGAGGUUCUUGAUGAAUGUUCAGCAAGUUGUCUUCAUCGGAAGAGUCAGAAUCAUUUAAGAAAUUUCAGGUACGUUGUUUCCAUACAAUCGAUUAUUGUGGAUGUGAAUAGGUUGAUUUCUUAGUAGUUCUUAGUUUACAACAGGGUUUAUUGGUCUUUCUUGUCUUUCUUGGUUUGCUGCAAUUGGGUUUCUUGGGGCUGAAUUGCUUCUUCUAAAGGUUGGACAUGAAAUCGGGUAAAAAGGUUUGUUAAUUCUACUAACGAUUGCUGUAUAUCUGACUGCCCUUUUCGAAGUUCUUCAAUAGCUUGUUCUACCAACUGCAAGCGUUGGUUGAAGGAGGCUUCCGCGUCCAUGGAUAAGAGUGGUAGGAUCCAAGUUUUUUUAGGGAAGAGUGAGCUAGGAUCACGCUCUGAUACCAAUUGAUUCAGUAAUUGCAAAGCUAGAAAUCUUUAUGUAUAAUGCCUCUUUUUUUUUAUGUCUUAUUAAUGAAAAUGAGAAGCUUUUUUAUAGGCUGGAGAUUAUAAGAGUUGUUAAACUAACUUGGGGUUGAGUUAGUUAACUUGGAGUUGAGUUAGUUAUAACUAACUCAAGAUACAAAAUUGGUAAUUCAAAUAACUAAUCCUAAACUAUAAAAAUGGUAAUUCAAACCCCUCCUCUAGGAUAAAACUCAAGAAACAUCAAGAAGGGAGAUGUUCUACAUCAAAGUGUAGAGAACGAUUCAAAAUCCUUGGUGAAAGAAAUGAAUGUUAACUAAUGUGUGUUUAUGUGAAAUUGUUCAAUGAGUAUGUUAAGGAUAAAGAAAGGUUUAUGCGAGAUAAAAUUAUUUGAUGUUGUUUAUGCGAAAUGAUGUUUAUGAAAAGGUAUUGCGAAAAGGAUUUCAUAAAACCUUAGUCUUUUAGACAUUCUUUCAAAAAUUCAUCUUCCAAGAUGAGGUGUUUAGGCCAAGUAGAGAAGAAGGUUGAAGGAUUUGCAGCGAGAUGACCAGACGUUUUGAAAAUAGUUAAGCAUUGGUUGUUUGGUCAAAGUGUUGUAAUUAUGUAUCAAACACAUGUUAUUAAUAAACAUCUUGGUAGGUAUUUAUUAUACUUGCACGCCUACUCUCACAUUUAGCCAUAUGUUGUACUUUGUUUUCCACCUUGACUUUUAAUGACACACAAACCAACUUUCCAAGGAAUUCCCUUUCAUUUUCCUAUUAACUCAUAUUCUCUUUUUUUAUCAAGUCCUUGAUAGAGAAAGUGGACUUUGAGUUGUUGGACUUUAGUAUUGCAUGGACAUACAAUUUUGAAUGAAAAAUCCUUAUAAAUGGGGCCUUUUAACUCAUUUGAUGGGUUGGCUAUUGAAUUUGGGCUUUCAUACCAAAUGGAAUUUUUUUUCUUAUUUACUUAAAGAAAAAAAAAAAAAAUUUACCACGCCCAUUUUUUUUCAUCUAUUUCUUUCGUCCGGUUCUUUCAUCCAACGAGUCCCACAACUCGAUUAUGAGUCUAGAAGUACUAAGUCAAACUUAGUGGUUGUUCGAAUAAAACGCAACUUCAAAUGUAAGUAUUCUAAAAACCUUAUUUUUUGGUUUAGUCUCGUUAAUUAAGCCCAAUUAGGGUAGAAUUUCGAUUCUUUUUCUGUUGUGCAUGUCUUAGUUCUAUCAGUAACUCCCUUCAGGGUGAUAACUCUCAUCAGCAGACUUUCCAUUACUGGUUUCUUCCUUAGUCAUCAUUAUAUUGUUGUUUUCCACAAUAGAUAGGGUGAGUUGCAGUUUUACAUGAAAUGCUCUGCUCACCCACACUCUUUUCUCACUAGUUCCUUAUUCUCAAUCUUCAACGCAAAUUUCAUCAUCUGGGCCAACCCAAUCGGUUCCACAGUUUCCACUUCCAUUUUUAUUCAUGGGCUAAGCCCAAUCAUCAAAGUCUCCUCUAACACUACCGUUUGAAGAAAUGCUACUAGAGCUAAAUAUCGAUCAAAUCGGUUGCGGUAUUCUUCUAAUCAUUUUCUGUUUGAUUGAGAAAAAUCUUCCAACCAAAGUUCCUUCUCGAAUUGAUCGAAACUGUACAAGCAUUCGUUCUUUCAGGUCAGCCCAAUUCUUAAAAACUUCCAACUCUUCUUGUGCUUGGUACCAAUCCAAUGCCAGAUCAUCAAAACUAAUAACGCUGUGGUUAAUUUCUCUGAAUCAGUAAGAUCAUGUAUCUUAAAGAAGCGAUAGGCUCUAAAUUGAGACCCAUUUCUAAUUUGAGUAAUGAAGUAAAUUUGGCUAGGUAUUAAGAAUUUGGCGUUUGAAUAAAUCCACGAAAAGGAUUAAGCGAUAAAAAAAUUUAUGGUUAAGUAUACGUUAUUGCGAUUCAGUGGGUAGUUCGCGAAGGAAGUUGUGCGACCCAUUUCUAAUUCGAGUAAGGAAGUAAAAUUCGGCUAAGAAUUAAGAAGUUGGUGUUCAAAUAAAUCCAUGGAAAGAUUAAGUGAUAAGAUCUUUUACGGUUAAGUAUACUUUUUUGCGAUAAGUGGUAGUUCGCGAAAGAAGUUGUGCGAUAAGAAGCGAAAAAGUCUUUGCGUAAGUUAGAAAUGAAAGUUUUGAGUGUUAGACUAGGAGUUUUGGGUGGUCUUCGCGAGAAGAACCAAGUGUUUCGUGGAGAAGAAGUCUACGAGGAAGCCUUGGAGUUUAAGUUCGUGAUAAGAGUUUUAUGCGAGUAAAAGUUGGUUAGUUCAUGUGGAACGUUUCUUAUAAUAAAAAUAUAAUCAAGCGAUAAGGUUAUUCACGAGAAAUGUUAAGUGGUUGAAUUUAUUCACGGUUUGGGUUAGGCGGGAGCAAGGUUUGUAAAGAAAAUGUCAAAUCUGAUUUGACAUGGGUUAACAUGUAAGAUUAAGGAUUUGAGCAUGACUAGGUUAAAUAUUAAGGAUUUGCAUGACUAAGUUAGUAUAAGGGAUCUAUAAAAUAGGAGAAUUUAGGUAACUAAGGAGGGGAUGACGAGAGUUUUGUUGAAAUGCUAAAGUGUUGUUGGUUUAGCCACGAAAAGAUGGUUGUGAGAAGGACUUCUUUAGUAAAUUUUGGUGAGUGCUUUUCAGUCAAAAGAAUUUAUGUUAAGAAACUUUAUUACGAUUUCUCUUUACUGAUUGAAAGAAGAAUUCAGAUGAGAAUGUUUCAGAAAGAUUUCUAUGAAAAGUUAUGUUCAAGCAUUAUUAUAAUGUUAAAGCUUGAUUUGAUGACUAUGAUUUCAAUAUUAUGUUUCUUUGAGAUGAUGCUAACUUUUGUGUGCACAUAAAGAGUGAAGGCACUAUGGAGUGUACGAACUACAUGGUAAUAAGAAGCUGACUUAUGCAUUGAAAUGAGCGUAUAAAGCUUAGCGGAUGACAACAAAGACGAAUUUGUAUGUUCUCAGAUGUUGAUACAGUAGUCUAAACGCGAGGUAAUGACACCAGCGUAGAGAAUGAUUCGGGAUCCUUGACAAAUGAAAUGAUUUUUUAAGCAUAAAGAAAGGUUUAUUCGAAAUGAAAUAAUUUUUCGGUAUAUUUAAAUGAUUUGAUAUUAUUUUACAAAAUGAUUAUGAAAAGGUAUUGUGAAAGGUUUUCAUAAAACCUUAAAGGAUUUAAAAAAAAAGUGGACCAUUCAACUUAAUUCCCAUCCACUAUCCUCUUGUCCAACAUGAAACUUUAUCUUAGUAAAACUUCUUGAUCCACUAUUUUACAAAAAUAUUCAAAACAAUACCAUACUACACCAAAUGUGAUAUUUUGGUAACACUAUAAAAUGGUCAGAAAUACCAUUUUCCUGACUUUUUUUUCAUCGACCAUUAAAGAAAAAGUAUAGAUGAUGUUUCAAAAACUUCCAAACCAUUGUGUUAGUUAUCGUUUUAGAUGAGGGUUGGGGUAGAGCAUCAAUACUAAAGGUUGUUAAGGAUUAAGAACUAAGACUUGAAAACAAAACCGCCUGCCUGGUUGACAACAACACCAUCCCACUAGAGUGCACAAUGAUUAUUAUUGCAUUAAGAAGAAGAUGGCAGUUAACCUUAGCGCCAUAAUCAGAACCUCAAUCCUCCCUUUGAUGAAAGCACCUAAAGGUGUCAUGCCUUUCCCCUCUACCACAUUGAAGCUCUUUGUCUAACACUACAAGAAAUGAGGGCUCUCUCGAUGCAUAAAAUCAUUGGGAGAUAUAUAAAAAGCAUCAGAAAAGGCUUUUCUGACAUACUAAUAUACGUUGGAACACAAGUCAGGAAAAAAUGUAUCGGGAGAGGAACUCCCGAUGCACAAUGUUGUGCGUCGAGAGUUUCUAGACAUCUUCUGACGUUGUAUGAACGUCGAAGAUGUUGUCAAUAUAGCAUCGAGAGAUGUCUAGGAACCAUGCGUCGGGAGAUCCUCUAUUUUUUAUUAAAAAAAAUAACUUCAAUUAAUUCCUAAAUUCAAAUUGAAAACUCUAAAUUCAAACUCAACUUCAACACUUCAACCUCAACUUCAACACUUCAAAUUCAAAUUUCUAAAACCUACAACUAAUUCAAAAUUCUAACAACACUUGAAAUUAAAUUUCAACACUAAAACUUACAACUAAUUCAAAAUCUAAAUACUAAAACUAAUUUGAAAUCUAAAAUCUAACACCUAAAACAAAUUUGAAAUCUAAAUACUAAAACUAAUUAACUAAAACAAAACAAUAACUAACUAAACCACUUACCGAUGGCGGCGACGACAGGACGACAACAGGGACGACAAUGGAGAUGACAAUGCCCUCUUCUUCUUUAUCUUCCUCUCGGUCUCCCUCUCCCUCUCUCAUUUUUUUCUCUUUAUGUUUCAUUUAUAUAAAGAAUGGAGUUAAAAAAGGCAGAGAACUCCUGACGCACAACGAAAACGAAUUGGUUCCACAAACCAAUCUCAUCACAGAGGUACUCUUUGCAAUUUAAGCUCUAUUUGCAAUGGACAGUCUUCAAAGUUUUUUUUAACGAUGUUUCCAAUGCUUUCCUUUCUCUCUCAUGUUUAAUAAAACAAAUUUCUCUUAAAACCUGUAGGGAGGCUACAUCGUAUCGAAUUUCAUACAACUGACGUGUUCAUCGAGUUACAACAAGUGCCGCACAAUAGUCUGUUCCAUUUUGAAAAGUUGUGAGUGUGACACGCUCACAUGAGGUUAGAACGAGACAUGGCAAGGCAAGCCCUACGCGCGCCUGCAACUUCUGCCACAAUAUUUUGUAAGCAAGCUGAUGUCUUUAGGCUGUUUUUGUGGUUUUUGGAAAUUUUAAGCAAAGUUUUGAUAUUUUUAUGAUCAACGGGAAUUAAAUGGAAUUAUUUCCCAUUAUUUUUCAUUAUUUUAGAUUUGAAGGAGAUCGACCAAGUUUAUAAGCCAAGGGUCCAAGCUACUCUCUAUAAGUGACAAAAAUGAGUUUAAAGUUGAUUUCUAUACAUGAAUUUACUAUCAAAUGUUUCAAGCAUGCUUUGAUGUUUGAAUAUUUGAGGAUACUGACUAUAAAGUAUUUCCAAAGCAUGAAUUUAGAAACAUUUUGGUAAACAUGUUUUUAUUCAUGAAUUUACUAAUGAAAAUUAUAAGCAAUCAUGAUUGUGCUAAGUUUUCAGAAUGUUUAAGCUUGAAAAUAAUAUUAGCAUGUUUUAGUCUAUACCUAAAAUAUUCUAAGAUAUAUAGCAACCCUUCGCGGAGAGAUUUUCUUGUGCAUAGAGGUCAUUUGAUUUGGAUAUUCAGUAAAUACCUAGCUUUCCAUCAUUGGUAUUAGAUAAGAGAUGAAGACUUCUAAAGAUGCUUAGUUUCCCAUCUCAGGGACGAGAGCUUGUACGAAUGCCUAGUUUUCCAUCUCAUUGUAGUUAUAACGAGAUAGGGCACAAUUGAUGCCUAGAGUUUCAUCUCGUAAGUAUCGUAUCACGGGAUAGGGCUUCUAUGCCUAGUUUAUUGUUUUUCGUCUCGACGAUUAUAGGUAUAACAGAGAUUUGGUUUGAGGUGCUUCUUAAGUCUUUAAUAUUUAUGUUUGUUUUGAUCCUAGGAAUUGAGCAUGUAAUGUAAAAAGUCUAUGCACAAGGGGUCAUAUGGCCAUCUCCGUGUUUCUUUAAUUAUCAAAUUUGUUCAAGUUUUUAAUUGUCUCUAGAUCAAAAUCUGGAGUUAUUUUUUGUGAUUUGGUGUACAAAUACAUACAUCCAUGUUUCUAAUUAUGAUUAGAUUGUUUUCUGCUCGCAACAUUUUAUUGUUUAGCUUGUCUUUGAUCUUGAACUUACUAUUAUGUUGAUUUAAAUUCCAUUUUAGCCUUAGAACUUUCAAAACAUCCAUUUUAGUCAUCGAGCUUCCAAAACGUAGCCAACUAAGUUUUAGUAUUUUGUAAAUUAUUUUAUCAAUUAAUAUUCAUUUAUCCAAUACUCAUCGGUCAUUUCUGCUAUAUGUGAUUGGAAUAUAUCUCAUAGGAAGCAUUUUGAAAGUUGGGAAAAGAUGGAAAAUUUUAGGGACUAGAACAAGAAUUUGUUUAAUAUUUUUUGAUAGGGUGAAUUCUUGCAAUUUCCUUGUCGUAUAUACAUAAUUUUUUCUCUCAUUUGGCAAAUUCAUUAUGCUUGAAAAUUUAGGUGAUUCAUGAGCUAGAUAAAGUAAACAACGUAUGGAAGAUGAUCUUUGUGGCUUGUGAGGAAGACGUGGAGGAAGCCUUGGUGGCCGUAGAAAAAGGGAUAUGGACUUUCAACGUUGAAUGGUUAAUGGCAUGUAUAAUGAGACAAGAAGUAGACUUGGAGGCCCUUAAUUUGCUGAGUCCCUAUGAGAAACAAGGUCACCCUAACUUUCAGUUUUGAACAAGCAGCAGCCAGCCAUUUCGUCCUUGUGUAAAUCCACUCUUUUCUCAACUCACUCUAAUUUGGUACAUAAACAAACUCUGAUCGCUCCAUCUCUAUAUUCAUCAGUACAUAAAAGACGAUAAGUUUAUUCAUGGAGAAAGUUGGAUGUAAGUAUGUUUUAGGAAUGGUCCUUCAUUUAGUAACUUUGGGAAUUGUAAAAAUGAGGUAAUGAAGUUCUAUCAAGUUGAAUGUUCUUGUUUAUGUUAGAUGAGACUGAUUCUUGGAUACCAGAAUUAACUUGAAGUACGUGUUUGAGUUCCAUUGGAGUGAUUAGAGAAAAGAUGUUCCUUUAAAAACGGUAAUUUUUUUAUGUAGACUUUCUUUUUAUUAAAAUUGCUUAAAAUACAAUUUGAGAGUAUUUCAAUAGCUUUCAAAGAGUUGUCAAACACUUGUAGUUUUUCUAAAAUAACAUAUUUUCAAAAUUAAUUACUGUAAUAGUUAAACAAAAGAUUCUUUCCCUUCGAAAUUUUAAAGUUUGUCUAGUUACCUCUUAAACCUUUCAAUUGUUUAAUAGGUCUUUCAAUUUUAUGUUUUAAGUGUCAUAAAUUUUGAUUUUUUUUUAUUUGUUAGAUAUAAAUCUGAAGAAAUGAAUAAAGUAGAUUUGUAAGUUUAAAAUAGUUUAAAAGUUGAGAAAUUAAAUUUGUAGUUUAAAAGUUGGAGUAAAUAGUUUGUGUUAAGUCGGGUUGUGAUAUUUUAUUUAUUUAUUUUAAUAAUAGAAGAGAGGGAGACGAAAACUGCAGACUGAAGGGAGAAGAAGCGGUGGCUGACUUUGUAUAUUUCUCCUUUCUUUUCAAUUUGAGAAAAUUUCUUUGCAAUUCACUUUGAAAAGGAAAUGAAUAUUUCUCCCUCAGACUUAUCUCUCUCUUCUUUUCAAUUUAUUUUCAAUUUUUCUGUGUGCUUCUCACAGUGUAUGCAUAAUCUCUCUUUCAUUUUGAUAUUCAUCUCCAUUUCAAAUAUCUCCCACACAAAGAACAAAGAAAUGAGUAAAGUAACUGAGAGAGCAUUUUGUUUUUCCCUUCAUAUGGUUGGUUACUUUUUGUCAAUUAAAUGAAAAGUGAAGAAUAAGAUAAGAUUUUCUUUACCCAUUUGCCAUCAUCAUCAAAGCUAUUUACCUCAUUUUUGUUCACACACACACAACUUCAUUUUGUUGGAUUACACUCAUUUGAGAAAAUAGCAAAAUUUUAUUAGAAGAAUAGCAAACACGAGCAUUUCAUGUGUUUUGAAUUUUCAUUAACCCUAAAAUCUCCUCGCCUGCUUUUUAGUUAAACUGUAACUAAUUUUGAAAUAUGCAAAAUUUUAGCAUAAAUAUUGAUUUUCUCCUACAUUAUCUUAACACACUUUUUUUCCUCCAAAUAUUGGAUUUAUAUCAAAUCUUUAUUUUCAAAUUUUACUUUAUCCAAAUUUUCAUUUUUCAAAAUUUCAUCGUUAUUCUACUUUUAUUUUUGUAUUUCAUAUAUAUAUAUAUAUUUAUAAUAUUUAAUCUUAUUUUUUCUCUUUUCCUAUUCAUCUUCUUCCUUUCUCUUCCUCUUCAACCUACGGCCACACCACCGUCUCUUUUCUUCCUUCUCUUUUCAUUCUCCAAUCAACUUCACCACCGUCUUCCACCUACAUCGAACGUCAAGCAAAUUUUGUCGUAUCGUCGCAUCACCGUUAGCCCGAGUCACUCCGGUUCCGUCACGCCAUGUAUGUUUAGAUUUGAAUUGUUUGGUUAUUUGUUGCACCGAUCCGUCUCCGUUAGAAUUUGAUUCUCCACAAUUUGGGUAAGUUAUGGAAUUUACAUAUAGAGUGAAUUGAAUGGAUUAAAUUGUUUGUGGAAGUGAUUGAUUUCUCUUCAAUUAUGUUUAGGUCGGUUCGUUGCACUUUAGUUUGAAAAAGAAGCUUAAGUAAGGUUAUAAGCUAAGGGAUUCUCUACUACUGGACUCACCUAUAGUUUUGAAUUGUGCUGUCUGUAUAGUUACCUCGAUUGAGUAAAGAUGUCGAAACGAUAUAUAUACGUAUGAAUGUAGACUUGAUGUUGAAUGCAUAUUGUGAUUGUCUGGGAAUAUAUAUAUAUAUAAAUAUGUAUGGAUGUAGACAGGACGACAAUUGUAGAUUGUGUUUGUAUGGAAUGUGGAUGUGUGAACUUGUGAUUGUCGUUUAGAUUGGGUGUAUGUUAUACUAAAGUAUGGUUGUGUACUGGUGAAUUGAGGGGUGUUAUGACUAUAUAGUUUGAUUGACUGAUGUAUUGAUAUGUUACUGGCGGACAUUGGGCUAAAGUGAGAUAAGUUGACUAUUAGGGUGUUCAGUGAAAGGAUUAUAUGUUGAAGUAGUUGGUUACUAUGAAUGAGUUUUAAGAUGUUUAGAAUGGAUUGAGGGGAAAAUUGUUAGAUUUCUAUUGGGUAGUUACCUUGCAGGUGUCCUACAGGAUCACCACCUGAUAUGUGCAUCCUUCGAUAGCACUAGACUGAUAUGUGCAUCCUUCGGGAGCAUUAGACUGAUAUGUGUUUCUGCGGAACACUAGACUGAUUUAUGCGUCCUUUGAGGCGUUAGACUGAUUAUGUGUAUCCUACGGAUCACAAGACUGUGACUGUGCAGGGUACCCCAAUAGGAAGUUAACAGUUUCUUUUUCCCCUAACGGGACGAAUAACGGGUCUCUUAUUGGGUAUGUUUAUACUCAUCCUUUCAUGUUUAACUAUUUUAGGCAAAGGUAACAAAUGAGGUAGACUGACGAGGGACAAGAAGGAGACGUGAUUGCCAUAAGGGAAUGUCCUUCAAAUGCUUCUGCUUUAUGUUUCUUGUUUUCCUUUGUACAUGAGGUUGUUUAAAAAUUUUGUGAUGGAACUGAGUUUACGAACUGUUGUUUUGUGAAUAGUACUUUAAAGUUUGGAUAUUUGAAAUAGGGCCCGAACUUAAGUUUGUUUUCUUUGAUCGUAUGAUUUCAAGUGAAUUUUACUAUAUUUUGUGUCAAUCAAGGUCUCUUUGUCAAAAUUAAUGACUUCAACUUAGUUAGAAAAGUUGGGUCGUUACAACAAAUUUUAAGUAUUGAUGUAAGAAUUAUGUACUUCAUUAUAAAGGUCGAUAGCUUACAAAUAUUAACACGAUCGUGUACCGAUAACAAGACGAUUGUUUACACUAUUCAAUACGAUCACCAAUAUCAUAUGAUCGUGUACCCAUGUCAACACGAUAAUUUAUUUUAAUCAAUAUUAUCAUUUACCGUUCUUAAAUGUUCGUUUAUCACGGUUAAUAGGAUCGUUUAAUGUAUAUUAUUUCAUUGCACGAUCGUUUACUUAUUCUUGCAUUGUGUUUAGUAUUAUCAUUUUGUACAUUUUAUUCUUUUAUUCAGUAAUAAAUGUAUAUCUAUGUCUAUCUAUUUCUUUCUAUCACAAUUAAAUACUUAAUUUUAUUUUAUUUAUUUUUUUUACAGAUUAUAAUGUCUUUUCCUAUUGUUGUUUUUUACGGAGGUCAAUGGAAUGGAUGUAAUAUUUAUGAGAAUUACUUAGUUGCUGAAAUUUUGGUAGGUGUCCGAGUCAGCUUUAAUUCUCUAGUUGAUUUAAUAUGUGAACAGAUUCAAUUGGAUGGAUAAGUAGAAUUAUCUGUUUUACUUGAUUUUGGUAAAAGCAAGGUCCAACUGUGGUGCCAGUAAAGAAAGACAAUGAUGUGGCUUGGUAUUUAUCUUUUGCUAAAGAUGCAACUAAUAUACAUCCAUUAGUUGCUCAUGUAACUGUUGAUUUUUUUUAGAAGGUCUUCUUCUUCUUAGAGAACUACCUGUAGCUACCAUGCUUAGUUCAAUUAGAGAUGUAUUGCAAAAGUGGUUUGAUGAAAGAAGUAAAGCUACUUUUACAAUGAAGAGUUGUUUGACUUCUUGGGCUGAGAACGUGUUGCAUUUAGAAUAACAUGAAAAGUCAAGAAUUUUAUUGGUAAUUUUUUUUUUUUUUUUAAUGUUUGUAUCUCAGGUAGAUAUAAAUAGAUUGCUAUUUUUGUCCAUUCGAUAGAGAAAUAUAACAAUUUAUGUGUGCUUGUUUCAGAUAUAUAGAGAUAGAUAGCUAUCAAUGUCUAUUUGUCUCUAUUUGUGCAUGCUUUUUUUUUUAAUUUUUCUAUAUUUGUUUUAUGUAUUAGGUUGAUCCAAUUAGUAUGACUGAAUAGAAAGUAAUGGAUGAUACAAAAUGAUAAUGUGAUUUAUUUAUAUUGGUUCUAAUUUGAAAUAUUCAAAUUUACUUUGGAAAUUAGUAUAAUUAGUAUAAUAUAUAAUGAUACAUUAUAAUAUAAAGUUUAUAUUUAAUGAAACUUUAUUAUAUAAAUUUAAUUUUAGAUAAAGUUCAAAAUUAAUUUAUGAGAAAAUAUUUGAAUGAGUUCAAAUAUUAAUUUAAUGUGGAUUUGUUUCAUAUUAAAACUAUUAAUUAUGAGAUAAAGUUAUAUUUGAAUAUGAUUCAAAUUUAACUUAAGUUAAAUAUAAAAUAUUUAAUUUAGUUAUUAAUUAAUUGAAGAAUUAAUUAAUAGUUUAGUUUAAUAUUAUUUAAUUAAAUUUGAUUUAAUUAAAUUAAUAUAAAACUAUGGGUAUUGGAGAGAUAUUCAUUCAAUAAGAUUUAAAUGAAAUAUUAAUUAAAUAUGAUUUAAUUAAUUAUUAACUAAUUGAUUAAUGGUUAAUUAGUUAGUUGAUUUGAAACUUCUAUUAAUUUAAUAUUUUUUAAGUUAAUAGAAUCCUAUGAUUUUCUCCUACCCCGUCUCCUACUCAAUGAAAGAAAGAGAGUUAUAAAUAUGUAGAAGAAAAACAUCUUUUCUUAACCAAAAUAAAAUCGAUGAUUUUCUUUUCUGCAAAAUAGAUUGUAACGACCUAAUUUUUCGAAUUAAGCUGAAGUUAUUACUUUAAGACUAGAUUCGUCUUUAACCAUAAGACUUUAUAAUUUAAAAAAUAUAUUUUUUAACAACAUUAAAGAGUUUUUAUUCGGCUCUAUUUCAAAUAAAAUUUUGAAAGUGUAAAAGUAUCGAUAAUAAAGAAAGUUCAAGAACAUAAAAGUCGUUCAAUCAUGAAACCCAAAACAGUCUCAAUUACUAAAGAAAACCAAAAAAAAAAAAAAUAUAAAGUAAAAGCAAUUUGAAGGACAUUUCCCUAUGGCAGUUUCGCGGAAAAAGAUUAAACAUAAAAGGGUGAGUAUAAACAUACCCAGUAAGGGACCCACUACUGAUCCUGUUUAGAAGAAAAAUAAAAUUGUUAACUUCCUAUUGGAGGUGCCCUGCACUUUAAAAGUCUUGUGAUCAUGUAGGAAUACACAUAAGCAGUCCAAUGCCCUAAAGGACACAAAUACUAGUCUAGUGCUCUGCAGAAAGCACAUGUCAGUCUAGUGCUCUCGAAGAAUGCACAUGUCAGUCUAUUGCUCUCGAAGAAUGCACAUGUCAUUCUAGUGCUCUCGAAGAAUGCACAACAGGUGGUGAUCCUGUAGGACACCUGCAAGGCACACUACCCAAUCGACAAAGCUAACAAUUUUCCCUUAGUCCAUUAUAAACAUUUAAUCAAUCCAUUCCUAGUAUAGUCAAACUACUCCAUCAUAUCAUCAAUCCAACUUAACACACUUACGUUCAAUCUAUUCAAUCUAUCACAAAAUCAGUUGAUACUAUAACAACACACCAGACAGUCAAGAUAUAUAUAUAUAUACAUAACACCUUUCUCAGUUUACAAAUACAUUAUCCAUCGUAUCUACUUCUAUACCAGUAAGUUUACAAACACUAACUGUUGAGUUUCUACAGUAGAUUCUUGAAGAUGUGACUCUUGAACAGAUGGAUUCUCAUGGAUGAUCACAUGUUUGUUAUUUUGAUGGUCAUCAUUCUUGUCUAGAUUGUGAUGACUAGAAUCAUCACGAAGAUCAUCAUACAUGUUGUUAAUAUCAUCAAACAAUUGAUUCUGAUUCUAGUAUAGAAAGAAAAAAGGAUAAUAAAAAAAUAGUUACAAAAUGAUCGUGUAUCCUUAAGCAAACAAUCGUGUAGAAUAUCUAAACGGUUGUUUUACCAAGGGUGAUCGAUAUUUUAGAUGGGAUAUGCGAUCGUUCAUAUGUGAUAUGUGAUCGUGUAAAGAUAUAUCAAACCUUUGUUCUGUCAGAAGUCGUGCUAAGAAGAGUUGAAAGCUUGUAAUAAGAUCCAUCAAAACUGAAAGAUUUUACAUCAACACGUUCCUGACACAGUAAUGCAGUAUCAAUGAGCAUCAAAUUACGUGAGAUACGUAUUAGAAAAUAUCUAACUGCUCAGUUAAUUUUUUAUGGACAUCAAAUCACCUUUUUUCAAGCUUAAGGAAGGAAAUGUCGACACUAUAUAUGUCAGAGUUGUGCAUUGCAAUGGAAGUGCCAACACGAGGUGAUACAUGUGUGUCUGGGAUGUAAAUGCCACUCCCCGACUAGGACCAACAUAGACUUAGGGAGAAAGCAUGCUAGGAAUUGGAGUUGUGUCCUCAAUUUCUUCAAGGGACUUGAGCAUUUCUUCUUACACUAGAAUGUCUCCUGUUCAGAGAGUUUAUAGGAUUUCUCAAGGCCAUUUUUGCAUACUUAACAGCUCUUGACAACGGUAGAGAGUCUAACUCUACACUUUCAAGGGGUUCCAACUCCACCACUCGCUGAGCCAAAGAUAGAGACGAAUCAUUAAUGAUCCAGUAAGCAACAUGAAACCUUGUAAUUUUGGGGUUAACGGUAGUCCCUCCCAUUACUAGCUCAACACUUAAACGGAGUCUCCUCUAUAAAAUAUAAAAUAAUACAGACACAAAUAGUGAAUGAAAUCUUGUGACGUAACAAACACAAAUUUUAGGUAUACUGCAAUUUGACUAAAUAUUGAACAAGAAAACCCAAGGGAAUACACAAAAAUCCAACGUUUUUAGGGGUCAAUUUGGAAAAUGGCAAAACUACUUUUUCUUUUCAAUUUUAGCAAACAACAUUUUUUGCGCGUGCAUGGUAUUUUAUAAAAUACCAAAAUAUUCAACUUCUCCAACUAUAAUUAUUUUGUUUUUACGUUAUAAUUAAUUUAUGUUAUGUAUUUAUCAACUUUUAAUUAAUUUUUACUUGAAAUAGAUACAUUAACUCAUAUCAUAACUUUUCUCUUAAAAUCUCAGGACUCAAUUAAUUAAUUCAAUAUUUUAAUAACAUUAUUCAAUCUUAUUAAUUUCAAAAUAAUCUAAUUGAAUUUGAAUUUCAAAAUAACCAAAUUGAAUUUCAAAAUUACAAAAUUAUUAUUUUCUAGAAUUUGAGAAUCUCAACGAUAGAUUUUAUAUUAAAAUAAACUUAUCUCAAAAUAAUUUUAAUGACUUGAAUAUCAAGAUAAUUAAAUUAUUAUUUUAAAAAUUGGAAGAAAAGCACAAAAAGCGCACACGCCCACUCACGUACACACGCACGCGCGCGUAUACGCACACACACGCACACGCACACGCACAAAAGCGCACACGUGGACACUCACACCCACGCACACGUAGACAUACACACCCACGCACACGUGGACACGCGCAUACGCACACACGUACGCACUCACGCACACGCACGCACACACGCACAUAUGCACAAAGAUGUAUAAAUGAAUUAAAAUUAAAAAAUAACUACAAUAAUUUGACUUACUAACGUUAAUUAAAUUAUAAUUUCUAUCAAUAUUGGUUUAAAAGUGUCAUUAAUGUAAUUAUUUCAAUAUAAUGCACUCUUAUCCAAUUUUACGAACAAAAAACAAGUCGAAUAUGUACCAUUAGAUGACACUCUUUGUCAUAAGAGAUAUAGCAACGUUUUUAUGGGUCAUUUUGAAAAAUGGCAAAACUACUUUUUCUUUUAAAUUUUAGCAAAUAGAAUUUUUUACACGUGUCCAUGAUAUUUUAUAAAAUACCAAAAUAUUCACCUUCUCAAACAGUAAUUAUUUCGUUUCUACGUUGUAAUUAAUUUAUGUUAUGCAUUUAUUAGCUUUUAAUUAUUUUUUACCUGAAAAAGAUACAUCCUUUUUCUUAAUAUCUCGGGACUCAACUAAUUGAUUCAAGAUUUUAAUUUUAUUCAAUCUUACUAAUUUCAAAAUAACCUAAUUAAAUUUCAAUUUCAAAAUAACAAAAUUAUUAUUUUUCGAAAUUUGAGAAUCUCAACGAUAGAUUUUGUAUCAAAAAUAACUUUAAUUGAAUUUCAAAAUUAAAAAAUAUUAACUUGUUCGCACACAAGCACACGCGCACACGUGCACAACGCACGCACACACACGCACACACACCCAUCCACACACGCACACGCACACGCACAUAUGCACACACGCACAAAGAUGUGUAAAUUAAUUAAAGUUAAAAACAAAUACAUUCAUUAUGUUCAGAAAGAGUUUUAAACCAUGUUCAUUUGACUUAAUAACAUUGAUUAAAUUAUAAUUUCUAUCAAUAUUGGCUUAAAAGUGUCAUUCGUGUAAUUAUUUCAAUAUAAUGCAGUCUUAUCCAAUUUUACGAACAAAAAACAAGUCAAAUAUGUACCAGUAGAUGACACUCUUUGUCAUAAGAGAUAUAGCAACGUUUUUAUGGGUCAUUUUGAAAAAUGGCAAAACUACUUUUUCUUUUAAAUUUUAGCAAAUAGAAUUUUUUACACGUGUCCAUGAUAUUUUAUAAAAUACCAAAAUAUAAACCUUCUCAAACAGUAAUUAUUUCGUUUCUACGUUGUAAUUAAUUUAUGUUAUGCAUUUAUUAGCUUUUAAUUAUUUUUUACCUGAAAAAGAUACAUCAACCCAUAUCAUAACUUUUUUCUUAAUAUCUCGGGACUCAACUAAUUGAUUCAAGAUUUUAAUUUUAUUCAAUCUUACUAAUUUCAAAAUAACCUAAUUAAAUUUCAAUUUCAAAAUAACAAAAUUGUUAUUUUUCAAAAUUUGAGAAUCUCAACGAUAGAUUUUGUAUCAAAAACAAUUUUAAUUGAAUUUCAAAAUUAAAAAAUAUUAACUUGUUCGCACACAAGCACACGCGCACACGUGCACAACGCACGCACACGCACGCACACACACUCAUCCACACACGCACACGCACACGCACAUAUGCACACACGCACAAAGAUGUGUAAAUUAAUUAAAGUUAAAAAAACAAAUACAUUAAUUAUGUUCAGAAAGAGUUUUAAACCAUGUUCAUUUGACUUAAUAACAUUGAUUAAAUUAUAAUUUCUAUCAAUAUUGGCUUAAAAGUGUCAUUCGUGUAAUUAUUUCAAUAUAAUGCGGUCUUAUCCAAUUUUACCAACAAAAAACAAAUCGAAUAUGGAUCAGUAGAUCUACACUCUUUGUCAUAAGAGACAUAACAACGUUUUUAGGGUCAUUUUGAAAAAUGACAAAACUACUUUUUCCUUUGAAUUUUAGCAACUAGCAUUUUUUGCACGUGCAUGGUAUUUUAUAAAAUACCAAAAUAUCAACAUUCUUCAACUGUAAUUAUUUCGUCUCUACAUUGUAAUUAAUUUAUGUUAUGCAUUUCUCAGCUUUUAAUUAUCUUUUACUUGAAAUAGAUACAUCAACUCAUAUCAUAAUAUUUUUCUUAAUAUCUCGAGACUCAACUAAUUAAUUCAACAUAUUAAUAAUUUUAUUCAAUCAUACUAAUUUCAAAAUAACCUAAUUGAAUUUGAAUUUCAAAAUAACAAAAUUGAAUUUCAAAAUAACAAAAUUGAAUUUCAAAAUAACAAAAUUGAAUUUCAAAAUAACAAAAUUAUUAUUUUUCGGAAUUUGAGAGUCUCAACGAUAGAUUUUGUAUUAAAAUAACCUUAAUUGAAUUUCAAAAUUAAAAAAUAUCAACCUGUUCACUAUCUUUAUCUCAAAAUAACAUUAAUGCCUUAAAUAUCAAGAUAAUUAAAUUAUUAUUUUAAAAUUGGAAGAAACUCAACAUUAAAAAUAUUAACUUGUCGGACACAAGCAUAGAAGCACUGCGCACACACGUACACAUGCACACUUACACACACGCGCGCACACGCACACCUACACACAGACACCCACAGACGCACGAACCCACGCACACACACAUGCACACGCGCACGCAUGCACACACACACCUAUCCACACGCACACAAGCACACACACAUGCACAAACGCACACACGUGUACGCACAAACCUUAUCUCAAAAUAGUUCCUAUUUUUGCUGACAGUUUAUUUUUUGCCAUCGAUAGAGGAUCUUCCAAUAGACCUACGUGACGGUGUGUGUUGACAGCUUAAUUUUGUUGGCAAAAGAAAAGUUGAUUAGUUUUUGAAGAUUUACUGACGAUAUUUGUCAUCGACAAAGGGUAAAUUUCUUGUAGUGCAUGUACAUCAAACAUAUCAAAUUUGUUAAGUGUACCAAUGAAGUAUAACAAGUUUAUUAGUGGUGUAUCACGUGUAUCAAACUUAUUAGUGAAGUCUUUAAGUGUAUCAAACUAAUCAAGUGUAUCAAGGCCUCAGGGGUAUCAAGUGUAUCAAGAAGAAUCAAGUGUAACGAGAAGUAUUAUGUGGAACGAGAAGUAUUAUAUGUAUGAAGAUGUUUCAAGUGUGUAUCAAAAAGUAUCGAGUGUAUCAAUGAGUACCGAGUGCAUGAAUUGUAUCUAUCAAAUGUAUCAAGUGUAUCAGUAAGAAGUAUCAAGUGUAUCAAGGGUAUUAGGUGUAUCAGACGUGUAUAAGGUGUAUCAAAUAUACAUCAAUAACGAGGGCAUUUGUGACAUUUUACCUCUUGAUGUGUGAGUUGGUCUUUGUUUUUGUCAUUUUCUCAAAUAAUAAAGUAUGUGUUCUAUGGACUUAAUUAUUAUAACUUAUUUUGCCAUUUUCGCAAGUGUCCCUUAAUUGUAAUACAUGUAUAUGUGACAUAAUCUAAUCAAACUAACUCAUAAAUGGACUUAAUGUAUCAAGAGGUAUUAGGUGUAUCAGACGUGUAUAAGGUGUAUCAAAUGUACAUCAAUAACGAGGGCAUUUGUGACAUUUUACCUCUUGAUGUGUGAGUUGGUCUUUGUUUUUGUCACUUUCUCAAAUAAUAAGGUAUGUGUUCUAUGGACUUAAAUAUUAUAACUUAUUUUGCCAUUUUUGCAAGUGUCCCUUAAUUGUAAUACAUGUAUAUGUGACAUAAUAUAAUCAAACUAACUCAUAAAUGGACUUAAUCUAUCUCAUGGACCACGAAUUCUUCAAUUACUUGCAAAUUUGGUGAGUUCCUUCAAAUGGUGGGCGGAGAGCUUAAUUUUGAGAGAGAGGAAAAGUCGUGAAGAGUAUUUGCGAGAGAGGGGGGAACGUCGCCAGAGAGCAUUUGCGAGAGAGCUAAAGACAGCGACGAUGUGGGAUGAAGUAAGGUUUUUUUCGGUCAUUGUUCACAAGUGGGAUGAAAGCUUCGAAUUAUUUGUUUUAAAUCAAAAAACGUAUGAUUGAAGGAAAACAUUGAUUUUUAUUAGGGUAAUUUUUUAAUGACACAUAAUUUAUGCCAUUAUUUACAAUGCCAAAAUUUUGUCAAGAAAACUCAAUUUGUGUCACAAAAAAAUUUGUAUUUUUAUUUUUUUAACGACACAUUUUAUUCCCUCAUAUCCCUUUUUCUUGAUUUCAAGUGUCAUUAAAACUUAUAUUUCUAAAUAAAUUUAUUCGACGAAAGUGGCUAGAUUGGUGGGUUUGACGGCGAAGGCUUGUUGUGGGAGCAACGACAACAGUGGUUGGAGUGUGGAAUCGACGACGGCAAGUGGCAAAAAAUUGGGGGCAAGGGUUCUUCAUAACGACUCGAUAGCCCACUUCGAAUUUUUUUGAAAUUUGAGGUUUUUUCAUUUGAAAAUUUUUUUAAUGACAAAAAAAUUGACGUUAAUUAAUGACGCAAAAUUUGUGUUGAAAUAAAUUAAAUUGUGUCAAUAUGAUUGUUUUAAGAAAUAAUCCAUAUUUAUAUUUUCAACAACACAAUGUACCUCAUCCCACCUCUUUUUUCUUUUAUUUUCAACGACACAAUGUCUUGAUUAAAAUCCAUUUUUCUAGUAGUGACUGAAAAAAAAACUGGACAGAAUCAUAAUAUCUUUGAUAAUUAAAUCACCAGUUGGUUUGAACAUAUAUAAUCUUGGAUCUAUUCUAUUAUGAUAUGACCAUGGUACAUCAUGAACAUACAUUGACUAAAAAACUUAAAUUGAUGAGUGAAUGUAAUAAAUUUAAUAUUAAUUAUAUGAUCAAUACUUUACACAUGUAUAUUGGUAUAUCAGUCAAUAACAGUAGUAAGACAAAUUAUAAAAUAUAAGGGAUAAAAGUCCUACACAUGCAUGUAUGGUAUACUCUCUUGAUAGCAAAAUGCAUUUAUGUCAACUCAUGUUUGAAUGCAUUUAUGUAGGAAAUUCAAUAAAAUAAUUAAGAAACCUUGCAAUAUGUGAGAGAUAUACGAACUUCAAACAAAUUUUACAAGUUUCAGCAAAAAUUUUCAAACAACUUUUAAAGUUUAAGCAAAAAGUAACCGUAGGUAGGAAGGGGAGCAAAAGUGGGGUCUCGAAUUAAUUCUGAAAAAUUAGUAGGCUUUCAAAAUUUAGGUUCUAGAAGUAGAAUUAUUGCAGAAAAAUAAAUAAUUGCAUCAUUCAAAUUGAAUCAGACAUAUCAGGAUGUAUAUAUUCUCCACAACGUAUAAUGGAGUAUAAACAUAAAGUUUCUAUAUACAAAGCUAUGUAUCUCUACCCUUGACUUCUCUUUCUCUCUUUCUACCUUUUUUAUCCUUUCUUUCUUCCAUUCACUCAAUACACUUGCAAGAACCUUCAUUUUUUUGUAUUUAAAUUUUCUUGGCACCAUCCUUUUUUUUAAUUAUCAAGGCUUUGUUAUUGUGUACCAGUAUUGUGUCGUGCCUCCUUCACUUCUCAUCAUCAUUUUCAUGUCACAUCUCUACCUUGUCAAUUUUCGUUUUUCACUCAGCUUUCUUUCUUCUUUUGUCUUCACUACUUUCUUCGCUCCUUCUUCUCAAGCUCUAACUUUUGCUAUUAUCAACCAGUCUCAAAUGACCAUUGGAAAACCUAUAGCCCACUGAGAGGCAGCCAAUAUAGUAAUGUCUCUAAUGAUAAACUCCAAUGAAAUCAAAAGUUCUUCUUUAAGAUUUGGAAAAAUAUAUUAGAUAAACCCGGACGUGGUGAACGCGGUGAACGCAGACGCACGGACGGUGAACACGGCAGAAGUUAGAGAUCCUCAGAGAGAACUUGGCAUUUUCGAAUGCGGUAGAGACAAGUCUAGGGCUUCAAAGGAUUCAACCCAAUAUUUUCUUUAUAUAUAUAUAUAUAUAAUAUAUAUUAUAUAUAUAUAAAUAUAUUUAAUAACACUUGACGUUUUCAAAAACGUCAAGAAAAACGAUCUUACUUAACGUCUAAAAAAACAUCAAGAAAUUUAAAAAAUAACUCUCUCUGGCUUUUUAUAAAAAUUCUUGACGUUUUAAAACAUAAAGAAUUUUUAAGAUAUUUCUUGACGUUUUUAAAAUGUCAAGUAAAAGUACAUAUUACUUGACGUUUGAAAAUUUUGAAGAAUAUUGAAUAUAUAAACAUUCUUGACGUUUAAAAAUGUCAAAAUUUUUAUAGAUAUUUCUUGACGUUUUUAAAACGCCAAGAAAAAAUACAUAUUAGUUGAUGUUUAAUAAACGUCAAGAAAUCUGAAAAUUGACCUACCCGCCUUUUCGUAAAAAUUCUUGACGUUUUAUCUUUGGAACUACUCCUUUCUUGACGUUUUUUUUGAAAAAAAUGUCAAGAAAGAAAAACAACAAACGUCAAGAAAGGCCUUUUUUGUAGUAAUGACAUACAUAAAUAUAUAUAUAUACAUAUAUAUAUAUAUAUAAUGAAUUAAAAUGGUUUUGUUGCUUUACUGUUUUACUCUAUAAAGGAAGAGCAUUAUAAAUAUAUUAUUGAGGAAACAUUUUUUGAAAUGACUGGUUUUGGAAGUGUCAUUAGAUUUUUAGUUAGUUAAGCACAUUUUCCUCCCAAAUAGUAGUCGAAAUACAACUUUUUUUAAGAAGAAGAAACCGAAUCAUUCAAACUAAGAUAAUCCUAGGAUAAGAGUCAUUAUCUAUUAACAUAGAGCUAAAGUUACAAGGUUGAAGGCUAGAGGGAAGCCCGAAACAACCUAAUCUAACAAAGCUUAAAGUUAAGAGUUGGUAGUAACAUCAUAUUGGUUACAAGAUGAAUGACGCCUAGACCAAACUCCGAUCAAGUUACAUAUGUCUUCCCACAAGUAAACAAUAAACCUUGAUUUAUCCUUAAAAAUUCUAUUGUUUCUUUCUAUCCAAACAGUCCAAAGUAAGCCAGUUAUGGAGGGAGGAAUACACAUUAGAAAGCUCAGUUAUGGAUGGAGGAAUACACAACUUUUUCUCAUGGUCAUUUUCCUCGUGGGCAUUAUCUUCAUGUUUCUUCUUAUUCCGACUAAAAUACAAGCACAAAUUAUUCUUCGCCUUCGUAUAGGUUUGUUUGAAGAAGAUUAAAAAAGUCCUUAAUUUAUCUCGACACUUCCAAAACCAGAAUAUAAUACCCGUGCUACAUAAAUCCCUCUUUCCAAAUAGUCAAACAUGAACUAUCCAUGAAUAUCUUGAAUAAACAAGAGAAACCCUAACUAAACCCAAAUAGAAAAUACGCUGCAAUCUAAAAUAUACUUAAAGAAACAAAAAGAAGUUUUAAUGAUGUGGGUUUUUUACUGAUCUUCUUCAACAACAAAAUAACUCAACGCCACAGUUCAAUUUUUCCUUCCACGAAUUGGUUUUUAAAGAGUUUUCACCGCGAAUUUAUCUUUUUGGUUCAACAAGUAAACAACAUGUGAAUCCCCAAAUGCAAGGUUUUAUUAAAAAAUUAAAAUAUAAUUUUUUUAAAAAAAUUAUAAUACCUAAUUUUUUUUUAUAUAUUUAUAACCUAAUUUUCUGUCAUUGCAUACUUGAGAGAAAUAUAUUUUCAAUUAGCAUAAUAACCUUUAUAUAGUAAAUUAAAUUUGUAGAAUGAGAAAAGACCUUAGAUCCAAAAAAGUUAUUUAUUUAUUAUUGGAGUGAAUUGUCUAAUUAAUGUAGUUAAUGGAUGGUUUUGUAACCAUAAAAAUAAUGAAAAUAAUUUUCUAAAAGAAUGAAUGAAAAUUUGGAAAGUUAAAAGGUUUUAGGAAUUAAAAAAAGGGUGUAACAUUAUAAAAGACUACCAAAUAUACUGUAAGAGACAUGCAUUAAAGAAGCUAAGGCAUGCAUACUACCAAAUAUACUAUAAAUAAACCAGAAUUCUUUUUAAGAAAUUAAACAACUAAUUAAAUAUAAAGAAGAAAGAUUAGAAAAUGAAUGAUCAAACAAACUAUGACUCAUUUAUUUUUGACAGGUUCGGCCAGUAUCACCUGACAAUUCAUUUUCACCAAGAGAAUAAACAUGAGUAGCCUUGGAAUCAAGUUCCUCCGAUAAAAGCCACGGAGUUGAUGGGUUAGAGACAGAACCAGAAUUUGAGUUCAACGAUCUGGAUGGAAAAUUCUGAAACUAGCAGCAACAAGAAGUUAAGAUAACGAAUUAUUUUCAAUAUAGAAAGGCUAAUUGUAAGAAGUUGUUAAUGAAGUGUCCAAAUGCAUUAUGGUAAUAUUGGGUGCAGAUUGUUUGGAAGUUUUAUCCGUGUGCUGUGAAGCACCACAGAGUUGAAGCAUAUGAAACCAGUGUUUAUCUGACAAAAAAUAAUGUCAUGAUCAUUGCCUUUCCAUUCCAUAAAUUUAUGGAUAGCAAAAGAAAGAGAACUCUCAACACAUGAAUCACCAUAAAGACACACAUGACAACAUUAUUUUGGAUGAAGUUCUAAUAUUGCAACCAUGGAGGAAAAAUCAGCAAAUCUUAAAUAGAUGUAGUAGUCCAAAUGAUAAAAGUUUGUCUCAAGAUAAUAUUUCAGUAACUGCAGAUGCAUUGUGCUGAAUCUAACUCUUGUGUUUCACGGUAAUGAACAAGGACAAUGUGUUCAAAGGUCCUGAACAAAAAGCAGAAGCAAGUCAUAAUUAUAUAAGUAGAACACGAUAUACUGCCACUGUCUAAUUUCAUUUUUCUUUGCUUGUGGCAUGAUGGGGAUAGACCCCACUGAAACAACUGGUAGCAAGCAAUUUAACAAUUUUCUUUCAACCAUAACAUACUUAUCUAGGAGCCAAUAACCCGCGAACAAAGGUUGGGCUAUCUAGUCCGUGGCAUAGUAUACAUGUAUCCUUUCUACAUUACCAACCUGCUGAAGAGAAAGAAAAGAUUAUCAAAGCACACCUUUCCUUGGUUAUUAAGGCUGUAAAAGAAUGAAAAUUACCAUAAAUCUAAACAUAGUUAAUAUUAGACCAUUGAACAACUUAUAGAUUCAAAAGGAAAGACUCAAACCACCAAUAGACUGGUUAAUCAUUUAAAAUGAUCUCCAACAACAUGAUACGCAGUAUAUCGUGCUAGAUCCAUAAUUACCAGAUGUGGACUCCUAUGGUAAUUUCAUUGAUGAUACGCAGCUAGUAGGCAAGAUUAUGAAAUGAAGACGGUAUGUGAGACGAUUGAAAAGAUCAAGAUGAUAAAAUUAUAGGGAUUUGAAUUUAUAUCUUAAGAACACCAGAGUCAAAUGCUUAAGAUGAUUAACUGUGUUAAAUUUAACUCUAUAAUAUAUAAAUUAUUAGCAAAAACAGUAGAAAUUACUUCAAAUUUGUAGAGAGAACAUAUAAAUUAUAUUCUAGAGAAAGAGCAUCUGAAUUAUAUUCUACAGAAACACGAGCCCAUAGUAUAUGUACUGAGUAGCAAUGACAGUGAAAAAGGGAAUAGUAAGUAACUAAUCUCAUAAACCCCUUUCUCACAUCUAACCAAGUUCUUUCACAACAUGCAAAAGCAUCAAAAUAUUUAAGAAAACUUCCAAUAUUGCAUUUGGAACUCAUUGAUUGACUUCAACGUUUAAGAGUCCUAAAAGACACAGCUUACUUUCUCACCUCUCACCACUAAACCUAUGGCAACAUCUUUUUAUAAGAUAUUAAGCUAAUCUUUAGAUUGUUUACCGAAUAAUCGUCUAUUGUUUUGUAAUUGAUCCCACCAAGCGCUUACGCCACCUUGAAGUUUGAGAGCAACUAAUCGAACCUUCUUGUGUUCGGGUGUAUUGGCAUAGUCGAAAAAAAUUUCUACGUUCUUGAUCCAAUCAAGAAACUUCUCCACGUCCAUUUGACCAUUGAAGGUAGGGAGAUCCACUUUCAUACGUAUUUCUUGAUCUUCUUGAAAGUAUGGUCGAAGUCCAAGCCUUUGUUGAGGUUCUUGAUGAAUGUUCAGCAAGUUGUUCAUCGGAAGAGUCAGAAUCGUUUAAGAAAUUUCCAAGUACGUUGUUUCCAUACAAUCGAUUAUUGUUGAUGUGAAUAGGUUGAUUUCUUAGUAGUUCUUGGUUUACAACAGGGUUUAUUGGUUUUUCUUGUCUUUCUUGGUUUGCUGCAAUUGGGUUUCUUGGGGGCUGAAUUGCUUCUUCUAAAGGUUGGACAUGAAAUCGGGUAAAAAGGUUUGUUAAUUCUACUAACGAUUGCUGUAUAUUCGAUUGCCCUUUUCGAAGUUCUUCAAUAGCUUGUUCUACCAACUGCAAGCGUUGGUUGAAGGAGGCUUCCGCGUCCAUGGAUAAGAGUGGUAGGAUCCAAGUUUUUUUAGGGAAGAGUGAGCUAGGAUCACGCUCUGAUACCAAUUGAUGCAGUAAUUGCAAAGCUAGAAAUCUUUAUGUAUAAUGCCUCUUUUUUUAUGUCUUAUUAAUGAAAAUGAGAAGCUUUUUUAUAGGCUGGAGAUUACAAGAGUUGUUAAACUAACUUGGGGUUGAGUUAGUUUAACUUGGAGUUGAGUUAGUUAUAACUAACUCAAGAUACAAAAUUGGUAAUUCAAAUAACUAAUCCUAAACUAUAAAAAUGGUAAUUCAAACCCCUCCUCUAGGAUAAAACUCAAGAAACAUCAAGAAGGUAGAUGUUCUACAUCAAAGUGUAGAGAACGAUUCAAAAUCCUUGGUGAAAGGAAUGAAUGUUAACUAAUGUGUGUUUAUGUGAAAUUGUUAUGUUAUGAGUAUGUUAAGGAUAAAGAAUGGUUUAUGCGAGAUAAAAUUAUUUGAUGUUGUUUAUGCGAAAUGAUGUCUAUGAAAAGGUAUUGCGAAAAGGAUUUCAUAAAACCUUAGUCUUUUAGACAUUCUUUCAAAAAUUCAUCUUCCAAGAUGAGGUGUUUAGGCCAAGUAGAGAAGAAGGUUGAAGGAUUUGCAGCGAGAUGACCAGACGUUUUGAAAAUAGUUAAGCAUUGGUUGUUUGGUCAAAGUGUUGUAAUUAUGUAUCAAACACAUGUUAUUAAUAAACAUCUUGGUAGGUAUUUAUUAUACUAAAGUCAAAGUGUUGGACUUUAGUAUUGCAUGGACAUACAAUUUUGAAUGAAAAAUCCUUAUAAAUGGGGCCUUUGAACUCAUUUGAUGGGUUGGCUAUUAUAUUUGGGCUUUCACACCAAAUGGAAUUUCUUUUUCUUAUUUACUUAAAAAAAAAAGAAAAUUUACCACGCCCAUUUUUUUCAUCUAUUUCUCUCGUCCGGUUCUUUCAUCCAACGGGUCCCACAACUCGAUUAUGAGUCUAGAGGAUACUAAGUCAAACUUAGUGGUUGUUCGAAUAAAACGCAGCUUCAAAUGUAAGUAUUCUAAAAACCUUAUUUUUUGGUUUAGUCUCGUUAACUAAGCCCAAUUAGGGUAGAAUUUCGAUUCUUUUUCUGUUGUGCAUGUCUUAGUUCUAUCAGUAACUCCUUUCAGGGUGAUAGCUCUCAUCAGCAGACUUUCCAUUGCUGGUUUCUUCCUUAGUCAUCAUUGUAUUGUUGUUUUCCACAAUAGAUAGGGUGAGUUGCAGUUUUACAUGAAAUGCACUGCUCAACCCACACUCUUUUCUCACUAGUUCCUUAUUCUCAAUCUUCAACGCAAAUUUCAUCAUCUGGGCCAACCCAAUCGGUUCCACGGUUUCCACUUCCAUUUUUAUUCAUGGGCUAAGCCCAAUCAUCAAAGUCUCCUCUAACACUACCGUUUGAAGAAAUGCUACCAGAGCUAAAUAUCGAUCAAAUCGGUUGCGGUAUUCUUCUACAUUCAUUUCUGUUUGAUUGAGAAAAAUCUUCCAACCAAAGUUCCUUCUCGAAUUGAUCGAAACUGUACAAGCAUUCGUUCUUUCAGGUCAGCCCAAUUCUUAAAAACUUCCAACUCUUCUUGUGCUUGGUACCAAUCCAAUGCCAGAUCAUCAAAACUAAUAACGCCUGUGGUUAAUUUCUCUGAAUCGGUAAGAUCAUGUAUCUUAAAGAAGCGAUAGGCUCUAAAUGUGAGACCCAUUUCUAAUUUGAGUAAUGAAGUAAAAUUGGCUAGGUAUUAAGAAUUUGGCGUUUGAAUAAAUCAACGAAAAGGAUUAAGCGAUAAAAAAAUUUAUGGUUAAGUAUACGUUAUUGCGAUUCAGUGGGUAGUUCGCGAAGGAAGUUGUGCGACCCAUUUCUAAUUUGAGUAAGGAAGUAAAAUUCGGCUAAGAAUUAAGAAGUUGGUGUUCAAAUAAAUCCAUGGAAAGAUUAAGUGAUAAGAUCUUUUACGGUUAAGUAUACUUUUUUGCGAUAAGUGGGUAGUUCGCGAAAGAAGUUGUGCGAUAAUGUAACACCCGAACUCUAAGGUAAUUAAUUUAAUCGGACCAUUCGAUAUUUUUACUCUUAAUUUUUGUUCGACGUCAUUUUGUUGUUUUGUCUUAAAAAAAAAAGUGUUGGAAAAGUCUUUCAUAAUAAUAAUAUAUUAUUAUUAUUAUUAUUAAUUAGCAUAAAAAAAAGGAAAAGAAAAAGAAAUUAAAAUAUCUUUUUCCUCUCUCCCCUCUCUCACGCGUGCGACACCCUCUCUCCAUCUUUUUCUUCUUCUCUUUCCUGUACCCUAACCCAGCCGACCAUCAUCUUCUCCCCUUCCCUUGCCGUUCAGAUCCAUGGCCUCCGCCCACCGCCGCGUGACCCUCUGCCCAGCCCCGCCGCGUGACCUCUGUCUCCGUCGAAGCCAAGUCCAGCCGUCGUCCAUUCCUUUCCUCUCUUCUUCUCCGUUCGUGAAGCCCAGUCGCCGCGUCAGAUCGUCGAUCGAUUUUGAGGCAGCGCGCACGCCUCCUUCUAGCCGCGCGUUUCCUCUUCUUCCAGCAACGUGUUUUUUCUUCUAACCGCGAUUCACAAACCGACGUACACUCUAAUCUGUUUGCACGAUGGUUUUUGUUUAGAAUCGAUUGCCGCUGCCCCUAUUUUUACUGAGAUCCGUCGAAGUAUUGUUGGUAAGAUUGAAGUUAUGAAAUUGUAGUCGUUUUCAAAACAAUUUAAGUAUGGGUUGUGAUGUUUUCAAGGUGUUCAAACGUUACGGAUGGGUUAAUUGACUAAUUUGAUAAAUUAUUCUUGAAGGUGUGAAAGGUAACCUUGGAUCACUUAAAUUCACAACCAAUUUGUGAAUUUUGAUUUCGAUUUCGUUUGCCCUUAUUUGGAUUGUUUCGUGGACGAUAGUUGAUUAAGGGAGCUUCCCUAACUUUGAGGUAAGGGACUUUCUACUGGACUCACCUAAAGUUUUUGAGUUGUGUUGGACUGUAUGGAUGAUGAUUAAGAUGUACACGUUUGGUUGCAGACUAAAUGUUUAGUGUAUGUUGUAUUUGACUGGAAACAUAUAUAUAAAUACAUUGAUGUGUGAAUUGAUGUGGAUUGCCGAAAGUAUACAUGUGAAUGACUGAAAUUAUGCUUAUGUGUACAUGAUGAUAUUAAUAGAUUGUGCUGUAUAAAGAUUUGGAUGUGAACUAGUGAAUUUGUUUCGGUUGAAUGUGGAUUAUACUGAACUGUGGUUUGCGCUGGUAAAAAUGAGGGGUGUUGUGACUUUGUUGUUUACUUGACAGAUGUAUUAAAAUGUUAUCAACGACCUUCGAACUUAAGUGAGAUAGGUUGACUGUUAGAAUGUUGAGUGAAAGAACUUUAUAUUUUGAAGUAACUGAAAGAUGUCAUAAAUUACCGUAAAGAUGGUUAGAAUGGAUUGAGGGGAAAAAUUGUUAGUUUUAUUGGGAUGUAUGCCUUGUAGGUGUCCUACGGGAUCACCAAUUUUUAUGCGACCUUCGGAGCAUUAGACUGAUAUGUGUUUCUGCAGAACACUAGACUGAAAUGUACGUCCCUCGGGGCGUUAGACUGAAAUGUGCAUCCUACGGGAUCACAAGACUGCGACUGUACAGGGUGUCCCAAUAGAAUGUUAACAAUUUAUUUUCCCCUGACGGGACCAGUAGAGGGUCUCUUACUGGGUAUUUUUAUACUCACCCUCCUUAUGUUUAAUUUUUCAGGCAAAGGUAAUAAAGGCAGCAAACCGGCGAGGGGCAGGAAGGAAGCGUGACCGCCACAGGGGACACUUUAAAAUUUUGCUUCCGCUUAGUGAUUUAUAGUAUUAUUUGUAUUCGAACGUGAGACUGUUUAGAAAAUUUUGAAGUUUUAAAGUAUUCAAAGAUUUGAAACUUUUUAGUUUUAAAUUUUCAUGUGAAUUUUAGUAAUUUAAAACUGGGGCCCAAACAAACAAAAUAAAUUUUGUUCUUUUGAGGUUUUAAAUUUUAAUUAACCAAGGUCUUUUGUCAAAAGUUAAUGACCUCGACUUAGGUAAAAAGUUGGGUCGUUACAGAUAAGAAGCGAAAAAGUCUUUGCGUAAGUUAAGAAAUGAAAGUUUUGAGUGUUAGACUAGGAGUUUUGGGUGGUCUUCGCGAGAAGAACCAAGUGUUUCGUGGAGAAGAAGUCUACGAGGAAGCCUUGGAGUUUAAGUUCGUGAUAAGAGUUUUAUGCGAGUAAAAGUUGGUUAGUUCAGGUGGAACGUUUCUUAUAAUAAAAAUAUAAUCAAGCGAUAAGGUUAUUCACGAGAAAUGUUAAGUGGUUGAAUUUAUUCACGGUUUGGGUUAGGCGGGGAGCAAGGUUUGUAAAGAAAAUGUCAAAUCUGAUUUGACAUGGGUUAACAUGUAAGAUUAAGGAUUUGAGCAUGACUAGGUUAAAUAUUAAGGAUUUGCAUGACUAAGUUAGUAUAAGGGAUCUAUAAAAUAGGAGAAUUUAGGUAACUAAGGAGGGGAUGACGAGAGUUUUGUUGAAAUGUUAAAGUGUUGUUGGUUUAGCCACGCGAAAAGAUGGUUGUGAGAAGGACUUCUUUAGUGAAGUUUGGUGAGUGCUUUUCAGUCAAAAGAAUUUAUGUUAAGAAACUUUAUUACGAUUUCUCUUUACUGAUUUGAAAGAAGAAUUCAGAUGAGAAUGUUUCAGAAAGAUUUCUACGAAAAGUUAUGUUUUCAAGCAUUAUUUAUAAUAUUAAAGCUUGAUUUGAUGACUAUGAUUUCAAUACUAUGUUUCUUUGAGAUGAUGCUAACUUUUGUGUGCACAUAAAGAGUGAAGGCCACCAUGGAGUGUACAAACUACAUGGUAAUAAGAAGCUGACUUAUGCAUUGAAAUGAGCGUAUAAAGCUUAGCGGUAUAGCAACAAAGACGAAUUUGUAUGUUCUCAGAUGUUGAUACAGUAGUCUAAACGCGAGGUAAUGAGACCAAGCGUAGAGAACGAUUCGGGAUCCUUGACAAAAUGAAAUGAUUUUUUAAGCAUAAAGAAAGGUUUAUUCGAAAUGAAAUAAUUUUUCGGUAUAUUUAAAUGAUUUGAUAUUAUUUUUACAAAAUGAUUAUGAAAAGGUAUUGUGAAAGGUUUUCAUAAAACCUUAAAGGAUUUAAAAAAAAAGUGGACCAUUCAACUUAAUUCCCAUCCACUAUCCUCUUGUCCAACAUGAAACUUUAUCUUAGUAAAACUUCUUGAUCCACUAUUUUACAAAAAUAUUCAAAACAAUACCAUACUACACCAAAUGUGAUAUUUUGGUAACACUUAAAAUGGUCAGAAAUACCAUUUUCCUGACUUUUUUUUCAUCGACCAUUAAAGAAAAAGUAUAGAUGAUGUUUCACAAAAACUUCCAAACCAUUGUGUUAGUUAUCGUUUUGGAUGAGGGUUGGGGUAGAGCAUCAAUACUCAAAGGUUGUUAAGAAUUAAGACCUAAGACUUGAAAACGAAACCGCCUGCCUGGUUGACAACAACACCAUCCCACUAGAGUGCACAAUGAUGAUUUAUUGCAUUAAGAAGAAGAUGGCAGUUAACCUUAGCGCCAUAAUCAGAACCUCAAUCCUCCCUUUGAUGAAAGCACCUAAAGGUGUCAUGCCUUUCCCCUCUACCACAUUGAAGCUCUUUGUCUAACACUACAAGAAAUGAGGACUCUCUCGAUGCAUAAAAUCAUUGGGAGAUAUAUAAAAAGCGUCAGAAAAGGCUUUUCUGACGCACUAAUAUACGUCGGAACACAAGUGAGGAAAAUGUAUCGGGAGAGGAACUCCGAUGCACAAUGUUGUGCGUUGAGGGUUUCUAGACAUCUUCCGACGUUGUAUGAACGUCGAAGAUGUUGUCAAUAUAGCAUCGAGAGAUGUCUAGGAACCAUGCGUCGGGAGAUCCUCUAUUUUUUUUUAAAAAAAAUAACUUCAUUUAAUUCCUAAAUUCAAAUUGAAAAUUUUAAAUUCAAACUCAACUUCAACACUUCAACCUCAACUUCAACACUUCAAUCUCAACUUCAACACUUCAAAUUCAAAUUUCUAAAACCUACAACUAAUUCAAAAUUCUAACAACACUUGAAAUUAAAUUUCAUUACUAAAACUUACAACUAAUUCAAAAUCUAAAUACUAAAGAAAUCUAAAAUCUAACACCUAAAACAAAUUUGAAAUCUAAAUACUAAAACUAAUUAACUAAAACAAAACAAUAACUAAACUAAACCACUUACCGAUGGCGACGACGACGGGACGACAACAGGGACGACAAUGGUGAUGACAAUGCCCUCUUCUUCUCAAUCUUCCUCUCGGUCUCCCUCUCCCUCUCUCAUUUUCUUUCUCUUUAUGUUUCCUUUAUGUAAAGAAUGGAGUUAAAAAAGACAGAGAACUCCUGACGCACGACGAAAACGUCGGGAAUAGCACCCUAUUCAUGACCUGAUUUGUUAAACGUCAGAAAUCCCUAAACAUAUUCCCACGCGAUUAAUGAUACGUCGGGAAUCCCUAAAUCUAUUCUCAACGUUGCUGCCACACGUAAGAGGAAGGCGUUACAUACAAUUAAUGAUCUGCCCUUCCUCCGACGGUUCCUAAGCUUUUAGCUUUUCUGCAAUCACCCCUUAUGCAUGUUCUCAGGCGAAUCUCAACCAAACCAUAACACUCCAUCAAAAUAAAGAAGAAGAGAGACACCUCAAAACCUUAAAUAAAGUUAAGGGAGAAGAAUGGAAUGACAGAGAAGAAGAAGAGGCUUCUCCGCUGCCACCACUACUCAAGAGGAGAAAUGUCCACGAUGACGCGUCUAACUCGUAUAAAAAGGAAAAAAGUCGAAAGCUAGACGUGGCCAUCGACCCUAAACCUCUUGCAAUCUGACCCCUAACUCUCUCAUUGCCUCCUCCAAAAUCCAAAUCCUUCAAUUCCAGUCCUCAUCCAAAAAUUGAAACUCCCCCUCAUCAAUCUUACCCAAGUCCUCUCGCAUGUCUAUUAUCCUCUCACCACCAAAUCCCCCAUCAUUAUAACAACAUCCUUCACCUCACGACCUGACCGAACAAGCCCUUACCCGAUCAAAAGGGCAUUGUUAGCGAAGAAGAAUUCCUUAGGGUUGAGGAGGAAGACCUGCAUCACAUUCCUCUCCCUCCGCACACUACUAUACGUAAUUCCAAGGAGGAAGACUUACAUCUCGCGUGUAAACACCGAUACCCAAUAAUCCUUAAUUCAUCUAAAGAACUCAAUAGGACAUUAGGGGUUGAUGUUAGGAGAAAGAUGGUUUAAGAUUGGAUAGUUUAGUUGAAGUGUUAUGGAAGAUGUGUUAAUAUUUUUAAGAUGAUAAAAGAAAAGUGUCAUCGUAACAAAGAAAGGCCUAAAGGGUGUUCGAAAAUUGGCUAAGUGUUGGCUAGGGCAUGUUGCAUACUCUAGGCGGCCAAAAGUGUCAAGCGAACCUCUAAAGAGACAUGUUGGGUGGCCAAAGGUUGAGAUGUGGUAUGGCCGAAAGGUGUCAAGACAACCUCUAUAAGACAAGGCUAUAUGACCAAGGGUAUGCGCUAGGCAAGGAAGCUAAGCAUCUAGGAAAUGUCAAGAAACUCUAAAGAAGUUAGAACGUGGAUAAGGAAUGUCAUGCAACAAAGAGGUGGGCUAUGUGGACAUAGGUCAUGCGGCCAAUGGGGCAAUUCAACCAAAUGCUAGUCAAGAUGGCAUGGUUUGUUGAAGGCAUUGAGGGAUGUUUGGGAGAUUAGGCGAGAAAAAAAAGUCUUAGGCAUUCUUGGCAGUAAGAAUUUACUAAAGAACCCUCAUAGAAAAAGGGAUAUGCGUCCAAGGAUGACUUAAGCAAUAUGAGGUAAGAUGUGCGGUAGAGUACAAGUGGACAACAUACAAGAUACCUAAGUUUUGCCAAAUAAGUGUCUUGCAUGAGUUGGAAAGUGGCAAGUAUGGGCGUAAGAGGUGAGAAAAAAAGGUUCAACCAAAGAGCAUGCAAGGAUCACUAUAUGUACAACUUUGGACGAAUUAUGUUAACAAUCAACUUGUGUUAAUUGGGUAACUCUACUUCGAAAAUCUCCUAAAUUGAGUGUAGUAUCAAGAGAAAGGCUACCAAGAAGAAAGGCAUUGAAGUGAAGAAAGACUCAAAGGUCAUUUUCAAAAAAAAAAAAAAAAAAACUUGAACAAUGUAGAGUAUUUUGAGCUACAUAACUCAAUACUUGGAAUUUGUUAGUGACACUUUGUGGUAAGCUAGUGAAGACAUUCUAAGUAAGUUUGUAGAAGGAAUCUUAUUGAUUUAAGCUUCAAAGUCGAGUUAAGUUUCUGGUAGAAAAAUCAUAUUUCUAGACAAGGCCAUGGGUGGGUUGAUUGCCAGGAUGACAAGGUGAGAUGAGCGUGUGUUUUGAGCGAAAGAGGUUAUUUAGGCUUGGGACAUGCAAGAAGCAUGUCCUGGCAUGAUCAAGCAGCCUGAGCCACGCGUCAUUACACACUCUAUUAUGAAAGUUGAGUAUAUUGCUACUUGUGAAGCAGCAAAAGAAGCAGUUUUGGUGAGGAAGUUCUUGCAUAAUUUGGAAGUUGUUCCAAACAUGAACAUGCCCCAUCACUUUAUAUUGUGAUAAUAGUGGGGCAUAUUACUAAUCCAUUUACAAAGACUCUCAUGGCUAAAGUGUUCGAGGGUCUUCUAGAAAGUCUAGAUCUGCGAGUUAUGUACAUUAGGUAAUCUAGGAAAAGUGGCAGAUGUGUAAUGGGUAUGAGGAUGCCCUAGUUUAUUGUAUUUGUAUAUACACAUUUUAUGUAAUACACUUGUACAUUUUACCAUUUUCAAUGUUAGAGGAUUACUUUAUUAUGAACAUCCCAAAGAGACGAGAGUUUUAGUCCAAGUGGGAGUUUGUUGGAAUUUAUGUCCUAAAACUCGUAGAUUGUAAAUAUAAUCCAUUGACCAUUGUUAAUAAAGUGUUAUUAUUGUAAUAAUUGUUAUUGAUUAUAUUAUUAGUUUUGUCUUAAUAACUCAAAUCCAAUAAACUAACAUCCUAAACUGUUUAAUAAGUAUUGAAUAGUAUGUAGAGACAUACAGGGAUCAAUGUUCGAGAUCAGCUUAAAGGGUCUAUAGUAUACGGAUAAGACUGGGUACCUUUAUCCUGGUAACAUUAUGAAUACGACUCACUUUGUAUUUGAUACAAAUACAAUGAUCCAAUGUGUUCAUGUAGUUGACAUGCGAGUGAAGGUAUCCUAUGCAAUGAGAUUGCAAUAGACUAGACUGUGAAAUAGUAACCACUUGGUGUUACUACAUUAACUAGUUAGGUUUCUAUUUCACUAGGAUGACCUAGAUAACUUAGUCUUAAUCUUGAGUGUAUUAUGAACUCAAUGAUCUUGGAUGAAUUUGACUUCAAAUACAAACUUGGAUUCCACAACCUAAACCAAAAUAAAAUAAUAUAUCAUGUUAAGAUGGAUUCACAUAGCAACAUUUUAUCAAAUGGUUGCAAUGUUUCAAAUAAGCAACAAUUAAAAUUCACAUAUCGAUUUGGCAUCUAUAAAUAUACAAACUAAAAAGUACCUAAAUGUCAAUUAUUUACCCAAUAAGGCUAACUAAGUAACCAACGUCUAAUAUGUUUUGCAAUGAAAAAGGUUGCCAUAUUGUUAAUUUGGCCAUAUUGUGAAGGCAACCUCUUAGAUGUGUUUGUGAGAAAGGAAAGAAAUACCAAAAUAAGUAUGGACUAAGAUAGUAUCAAAUAAAGUUAAAGUUGAAUUUUAAAGCUCUAUUUUUUUCAAGAUAGAGAAAUUUCAGCUAAAGAGGAAAACACUAAGGACAACCAAGCAAAAAAGUCUAACAAAUAUCAAAAGAGAACAUGCAGGAAAGAAAGAAUGUAAAUAAGGUUUUAUCCGCACCAAGCAAAAAAGUCUAACAAGUAUCAAAAGCUUCAUAAGUUGUACUAGAAUUCAAAGCUCUAAACUCUAAAGAAUGUAAAUUUCUUUGAAGAAAUUUGUGUAUAAAGGUCACACAGUUGAAAAUUCAAUACCUUUUCAAGAAUGUUGUUGAGAAGAUUAUUGUGAUGAAUCUUUGAAUCCAAAUUAUGGAGACAAGAUAAAUAAAUGAGUUCUGAUUCUAACUGACUGAAUGAGAGUUUAGAAAAUAAGAACAUUGGAGUUGAAUUAUCAGCAUUUAUUUUAAUCAAACUUACGAUAGCAAACCAAAUUAUAGAGAGAGAUCAAAUGCUAGGAUAAAGGAAUAAUCUUACAUUUGGUGAGUUCCCAAAUGUUGUGGUAGUCACGAGAGUUAUUCCACUCGAAUUGUCUUAGACAAGAGGCUUCCAUUCAGCAAGUACUGGUGAGAAUUAAAGUGGAAUGACAAACUUAAAAACACCUAAUCUUUAACAAACUUUUCCGACUUUUUGCAAUUAUUUUUUAACACAAGAUAUCAAAACACACUUAAAAACCAUAACAACCAAUUACCAUAAAACGGUGUCCAAUAACAAUAAUUGGGUCAACCCAAACAUCAUCAAAUUCUUGGGAAAGGUUGUGGACUAGACCUUCACCAUCUUGCCCCUAAAACAAGUUAAAGCUUAAGGAAAGAACACAGUAGAAACAAAAAUCAUAAACUCAUCAGUUAGAUAGUAUUGGUGGUCAAAACCUCAAGGUCUCACUUCUUCCAUUUUAUAUUACCAAAUUUGAAAAUGAUUUUUAAUAUAUGAUCAUUACUUGAAACAUGUUGGUGUACAAGUGUGAAUGAAACUAAAUCAAGUUUGUGUUUUAUGUUAUUGUUUUUGACAGUAUAUUUAUGUGCUAUGCAAUCCAUGAGAGUAUAUUUAUGUGCUAUGCAAUCCAGAAGGGGGAAUGCAAGCUAUACCCAAUUCAUAAUUGUAUUUGGAACACUAAUGAUUUUAGCACAAAUUCCAUCUUUCCAUUCUCUAAGACAUAUAAACCUUAUCUCCCUCACUCUAUACCUUGGCUAUAGUGCUCUUGCAACAUAUUAAAAUUCUCGUAAUUAAAAAUUCAUACACAAUUUAAAUUAAAUUAAACAUCAAGACCCCUGACGAAGAUGAAUCUCUGUUCAUUUUUCUUUUUAUUAACAAACAAAAGUUUUUAGGUCAACUUCUUUCAACAACCUCCUCAAGGAUCCUUAAUUAUCUCUUUCCAAGUUCAUAACCACUCUAGUCAUGCAAAGAUUAAGGUUCAUGGCCAAUCAACAAUUAAUCUGUGAUUAAGAUAUUAUGAACGCUAUUCACAUAAAAACAUGAAAAGAUUAAGAGCAAAUAAUCAGAUGCAUUACAAAGAAUAAUUCAUAAACUUUGUCUACAUCUAUCCCUAGGAUUAAGAGUUUAGCUACCCCAUACUUCACAAUCUAAAACACAAAACUCAAUACAAUACCCAUAAAAAAAAUUAAAGGAGAAGAAAAAGAAAACGAAGAAGAAAAGCUAGUGAUUCGUAUUAUUAUAAUACUGUGUAUAACAGUAUGUGUUUUUUAAUAUUCUCUGUUUCCAGCUCCAAUGUACCAAAAUAUUAUCACAAACUCCACAAUCCUUCUCUUUCCAAUCCCUAAACUAACCAAUGAAUCAUAUUCGCACGCUUGGUAGCCUUGUUCAAAAUAUUAUAUAUUACAAUUAUAAUAACUUGUAUCCCCCCUUUUCAAGCCUAAAAUGCAAAACCUUUCUUCCAUUCUCUAAGGCAUAUUUCCUCUUCUUUAAUUUUGCAUUCCAAUUUUAAAUUACAAAUUACAAAUUUUAAUCACAAAGGAAAAAAGGAAAAUUAUUACCUUUAGAAAGGGAAGAAAAUAAAUGAGUAACCAUGAAGGAUUUGGAAACGAAUAGAGGUUUAGCGAAAGUGGAAUGCGACAGAAGGACGGUGAAUGUGUUUACUCGUUUUCGAACAGAGAAUGUGUUUACGCAUUCCGAACGGUGAACAGACGGACGCAAAUCAACGAAGGUGAAGGGAACGCAAAGCAGACGGACGGUGACGGACGAUGAACGCAAAUGAAUGAAGGUGAAUGCUUAUGAACGCGAAGGGAAGUCUUUUCCGGCGAUGAACGCAGAUGAAUGCACAGAUGAACGCGAAGGGAAGGUUAGGUGAACGACGCUUUUGAUUUCGGGUGGAGAAGGGACAAAGUCGCGGCGAAUUAGGUUUAAUUAAGAAAAGGGGAAGUGAUCUAAUUGAAACGUUGGGUUUUGUAAAAGAAUAUUAACACAAUAAUUUUUUAGAAAUUUCUUGACGUUUUUAAAACGUCAAAAACAAAUUAAAAUUUCUUGAACUUUUUAAAACAUCAAUGAUUUUUUAGAAUUAUCUUGACGUUUUAAAAACGUCAAGAAUUUUUUAUAAAUUUCUUGACGUUUUUAAAAAUGUCAAGAACUUUUUAGAAUUAUCUCGACAUUUUAAAAACGUUAAGAAUUUUUAUAAAUUUCUUGAUGUUUUUAAAACGUCGAGGAAAACUAUAUAUUAUUGACGUUUAAAAAACAUCAAGAAAGUUGAAUUCAUAAACAUUCUUGACGUUUUUUAAACGUCAAAAAUUAUUAGAUAUUUCUUGAUGUUUAAAAAACGUCAAGAAAAAGUACAUCUUACUUGACGUUUAAUUGCAUAAAAAACGUCAAGAAAAAACGUCAAGAAAGUUGAAAAUUGGCCUUUCAUAAAAAUUCUUGACGCUUUUUUAUUUGAAAUCACAUCUUUCUUGACGUUUUUGGGAAAAAACGUCAAGAAAGGAAAACUACAACCGUCAAGAGAGCCUGUUUUUGUAGUAGUGAUUUUGGGGACAAGACUGAGUGGGGAGUUGGGAUUAUAAUUGCACAAAAUGGAAUUCACUCAUUUCCUACUGUAGGAUAAGUAGAUGAAUGUUAGCUUAAAUGGUGUCUCCAAAACUUAAACAAAGGGCCCGUACUCUCUCUAUGACAUGAGAGGGGUUUUUGUUUAUUAGUAGGACCAUAAACAAGUUGUUCAUUAGAGGAGCACUAGUUUUUAAGGAUUAGAGGUAACAUAGGGGUAAAGCGGUAAAUUGAUCCAACUGGUGUUACAAACACUCGUGAAGGACUAACUUACUAUUAUUGGUCUAUAUCCGUGGACACAGAAAUAUAUUUUUAGUGAGAAGAGUUCAGUUGUGAGUCUUUAGUGGAGUGUACACACAACUAACGAAUAUUGAUUAAUGUGGUUAAUGAGUUUAGCCAAUUAAUCUUAGAUCGUUGUAGCUUCUGAUCUGUAGGUCCACUAGGUCCCUUUCCUAGCUCGUAAAGGGUAAUGAGAUUUAUUUGUAUUAGUUGUAAUUUAAAAUGUUUAAAUUUAACUUGGGAAUUAGUAUAAUGUAUAGUGAUACAUUAUAAUAUAAAGUUUAUCAAACUUUACUAUAUAAAUUUAACUUUGGGGAUGAUUUAAAAUUAAUUUAUGAGAGAUAAAAUAUUUGAAUGAGUUCAAAUAUUAAUUUAAUGUAAAUUGGAUUCAUAUUAAAAUUAUUGAGAGAAACUUAUAUUUGAAUAUGAUUCAAAAUUAAUUUAAGUUAAAUAUAAGAUAAAUAAUUUAAUGUUAUUAGUUAAUUGGAGAAUUAAUUAAUAGUUUAGUUUAAUAUUAUUUAAUUAAAUGUGAUUUCAUUAAUUAUUAACUAAUUGAUUAAUGUUUAAUUAAUCAGUAGAUUUGAAAUAUAUAUUAAUUUAAUUGUUUGUAAAUUAAUAGAAUCUCAUAGUUCUCUUCUACUUCAUUUUUUAUUCCUAGAAGGAAAGAGAGUUAUAAUAUCUAGAAGAAAACAAUUUUCUUAAAAAAUGAAUAUAAUAAAAAAAGAAAAAAUAAGGCUAACGCUAUUGCUCUUUGCAAAAAGAAAAGAGUUUCUCUCAAUAUCUCUAAACUUUUUCCCAUCCCAAUUGGUUCCACAAACCAAUCUUAUCACAGAGGUACUCUUUGCAAUUUAAGCUCUCUUUGCAAUGGACAGUCUUCAAAGUUUUUUUAACGAUGUUUCUAAUGCUUUCCUUUCUCUCUCAUGUUUAAUAAAACAAAUUUCUCUUAAAACCUGUAGGGAGGCUACAUCGUAUCGAAUUUCAUACAACUGACGUGUUCAUCGAGUUACAACAAGUGCCGCACAAUAGUCUGUUCCAUGUUUGAAAAGUUGUGAGUGUGACACGCUGCACAUGAGGUUAGAACGAGACAUGGCAAGGCAAGCUCUACGCGCACCUGCCAACUUCUGCCACAAUAUUUUGUACGCAAGCUAAUGUCUUUGGGCUGUUUUUAUGGUAUUUGGAAAUUUUAAGCAAAGUUUUGAUAUUUUUAUGAUCAACAGGAAUUAAAUGGAAUUAUUUCCCAUUAUUUUCAUUAUUUUAGAUCAGAAGGAGAUCGAACAAAUUUAUAAGCCAAGGGUCCAAGCUACUCUCUAUAAGUGACAAAAAUGAGUUUAAAGUUGAUUUCUAAACAUGAAUUUACUAUCAAAUGUUUCAAGCAUGCUUUGAUGUUUGAAUAUUUGAGGAUACUGACUUAUAAAGUAUUUCCAAAGCAUGAAUUUAGAAACAUUUUGGUAAUGAAAAUUAUAAGCAAUCAUGAUUGUGCUAAGUUAUCAAAAUGUUUAAGCUUGAAAAUAAUAUUAGCAUGUUUUAGUCUAUACCUAAAAUAUUCUAAGAUAUAUAGCAACCCUUCGGGAGAGAUUUUCUUGUGCAUAGAGGUCAUUUGAUUUGGAUAUUCAGUAAAUACCUAGCUUUCCAUCAUUGGUAUUAGAUAAGAGAUGAAGACUUCUAAAGAUGCUUAGUUUCCCAUCUCAAGGGACGAGACCCUGUACGAAUGCCUAGUUUCCAUCUCAUUGUAGUUAUAACGAGAUAGGGCACAAUUGAUGCCUAGAGUUUCAUCUCGUAAGUAUCGUAUCACGGGAUAGGGCUUCUAUGCCUAGUUUAUUGUUUUUCGUCUUGACGAUUCUAGUAUAGCAACUGAAAGGGAAAGUUUGAGAUAAGUUGUUUGAGUUUGAUUUCAUUUAUGUUAAGAGUUAAUUGUUAAAUACUUAUUAUUUCAAACAAUGUUUUAUAAAACAAUCACUCAUUGGGCUAUUUAGCUCACUCUUUGGAUAAAUAUCCCCAUAUGGAUUACGUUGUUUGGAAAAUUAAACUGUCUUUAGUACUUCAAAGAAAACUUCCCUCCCAUGUCCUCUCACCUCAUGUCAUCCCAUUUGUGUUGAUAACAUGAAAAAUAUUUAGCACCUUUUAAUUGAUUAUGUCUUUGUAUCGAAAUGUUGGUUCCGUCUUCUCCAAACAUUCAAUAUUUGUUGGGAUUUUUUGCUCAAUCAAGGCUUAUUCUUGUUUGUUCUCGACCUGCUACCUAUGAUUUAUGAUUUUGUUUUGGACAUAUUAUUUUAUCAUUUUGUUUGGUUUUAUAUUUGUGGCUUUUUUUUUGUUUUGUUUUGUGUUUUGUUUUUUUUUUUUUUUGAAAAGGAGACAACCUCUUUAUUAAUAUUAAAAUAAUAAAAUAAUUAGACAAAAGCUCAUGGUACAAGAGAGUUAUACAAUGAACAUGUAACCAUGGAUCAGAGGGUGCACCUUGGCAUCUCAACUAGGUUGACACCCCCAUAGCACCCUCAUCAUAUCCAACCAAGCUAAAACCCAUAACAAAGGAGUAAUGUCCAAAGGCAAAACAAACACAAAAAAAGCCUUCUAUUUGUGGCUUUUGUUUUGAUCUUGUGUUGUCGCUUUUUGGAUGUGAUGAGGGCGCUAAGGGGGUGUCAACACUCAAACCUUAUGACGUAACAAAUGCAAAUUUUAUGACGUUUUUAGGGGUAGUCCCUCCCAUUACUAGCUCAACACUCAAACGGAGUCUCCUGUAUAAAAUAUAAAAUAAUACAGACACAAAUAGUGAAUGAAAUCUUAUGACGUAACAAAUGCAAAUUUUAUGUAUACUGCAAUUGACUAAAUAUUGAACAAGAAAGCCCAAGGGAAUACAAAAAAAUCCAACGUUUUUAGGGGUCAAUUUGAAAAAUGGCAAAAUUACUUUUUCUUUUCAAUUUUAGCAAACAACAUUUUUUGCACGUGCAUGGUAUUUUAUAAAAUACCAGAAUAUCAACAUUCUUCAACUGUAGUUAUUUCGUUUCUACAUUGUAAUUAAUUUAUGUUAUGCAUUUAUCAGUUUUUAAUUAUCUUUUACUUGAAAUAGAUACAUCAACUCAUAUCAUAAUAUUUUUCUUAAUAUCUCGAGUCUCAACUAAUUAAUUCACAUAUUAAUAACUUUAUUCAAUCAUACUAAUUUCAAAAUAACCUAAUUGAAUUUGAAUUUCAAAAUAACAAAAUUAUUAUUUUUCGGAAUUUGAGAGUCUCAACGAUAGAUUUUGUAUUAAAAUAACCUUAAUUGAAUUUCAAAAAUAAAAAAUAUCAACAUGUUCACUAUCUUUAUCUCAAAAUAACAUUAAUGCCUUGAAUAUCAAGAUAAUUAAAUUAUUAUUUAAAAUUGGAAGAAACUCAACAUUAAAAAAUAUUAACUUGUUCGCACACAAGCAUAGAAGCACUGCGCACACACGUACACAUGCACACUUACACACACGCGCACACACGCACAUCUACACACAGACACCCACAGACACACGAACGCAUGCACAUACACAUGCACACGCGCACGCAUGCACAUACACAUGCACACGAGCACGCAUGCACACGCACACACCUAUCCACACGCGCGCACAAGCACACACACAUGCACAAACGCACACACGCGUACGCACAAACGCACACACUUAUACACAUACGCACACGCGCACAAACACGCACGCACGAGCACACACACACCUAAGCACACACGCAAUAGCCUGCGCACACACACGCACGCACAAACACAUACAAACAUGCACACACCCACACAUAUAUGCACACGGACACUCGCAACAAACGCACGCACAUACACAUACGCACACCUACCUACACGCACACACGUACACACGCACAUAUGCAUAAAGAUGUAUAAAUGAGUUAAAAUUAAAAAAAAACUACAUUAAUUGUGUUUAGAAGGACUUUUAAACCAUGUUCAUUUGACUUAAUAACAUUAAUUAAACUAUAAUUUCUAUCAAUAUUGGCUUAAAAAGUGUCAUUCGUGUAAUUAUUUCAAUAUAAUGCGAUUUUAUCCAAUUCUAUUUGCAACAAACAGGUCGAAUAUGAACCAGUAGAUAUACAUGUCAUAAGAGAUAUAGGAACAUUUUUAUGGUCAUUUUGAAAAAUGCAAAACUUUUUGUAACGACCCAACUUUUCUAGGUAAGUCGAGGUCAUUAAUUUUUAAUAAAAGACUUUGUUGAUACAAAAUGAAGCGUAAGUCAAUUUAAAAAAAAAUAUGUCAGGCCUGAUUUUCAAAUAUCAAGAAAACUUAAAAAUAACACUAUUUACAAAUAAAAGUUUGUAAACUAAGUUUUUAGUACAUCUUAAACCUUAAAAGAAACAUAAGCGGAAGCAAAAUACACAUUUCCUAUGGCAAUCACGCUUCCUUCCUGCCCCUCGCCGGUUUGCCACCUUUAUUUCCUUUGCCUGAAAAUUAAACAUAAGAAGGGUGAGUAUUUUAAAUACUCAGUAAGAGACCCUAUACUGGUCUCGUCAGGGAAAAUAAAUUGUUAAAGUUCUAUUGGGACACCCUGUACAGUCGCAGUCUUGUGAUCCCGUAGGAUACACAUUCAGUCUAACGCCCCGAAGGACGUACAUAUCAGUCUGACGCCCCGAGGGACGUACAUAUCAGUCUAACGCCCCGAGGGACGUACAUAUCAGUCUAACGCCCCGAGGGACGUACAUAUCAGUCAAGUGUUCUGCAGAAACACAUAUCAGUCAAAUACUCCCGAAGGUGCAAAAUAAAUUGGUGAUCCCGUGGGACACCUACAAGGUAAACAUCCCAAUACAACCUAACAAUUUAUCCCCUCAUUCCAUUCAACCCAUCUUUCAGUUACUUCAAAUCACAAAGUCCUUUCUUUCAACAUCCUAACAGUCAACUUAUUUUACUACAGUCAUAUGUCUGUCAAUAAUAUGCUAAUACAUCAGUCAAUCACUAUACAGUCAAGUCAAUACACCCCUCAGUUCACCAGCACAAACCACAGUUCAGUAUAAUCCACAUCCAACUGAAACAAAUUCACUAGUUCACAUCCAAUCUUUAUACAGCACAAUCUAUUAAUAUCAUCAUGUACACAGAAGCAUAAUUUCAGUCAUUCACAUGUAUACUUUCGGCAAUCCACAUCAAUUCACACAUCAAUGUAUAUAUAUAUGUUUCCAGUCAAAUACAACAUACACUAAACAUUUAGUCUGCAAUCAAACAUGUACAUCUUAAUCAUCAUCCAUACAGUCCAACACAACUCAAAAACUUUAGGUAAGUCCAGUAGAAAAUCCCUUACCUCACUUUUAUGCAAGUUCUUCAAUCUACUAAAUCCAAUGAAUCAAAUCCUAAACAUAAUCAAUCAUAAAAUCAACAUCUUUCUAAAUAGUUUCAACCAUUCAAAUUACCCCAUAUGUAAAUUCCACAACUUACCCAAGAAGUGGAAAAUCAAGUCCACUUCAACCUUUUGGAAAAUCAAGGAUUCGCUCACUGAAUCAAGAUGUACCUUCAAGAAUUAAGCAUUUCGCCAACAAUUAAAUCCAAUGGCAGCAUCCAACAAAAACCAAGAAACCAACAAAAACCAUAACUUGUUCUUACCCAAAUAUGAGCCCAAUGGUUCACGGCGAGGCAGAUCUGGACGACGAUUUGCUUUGCGAGGGAGGCACGACGGUUGUGAGCGAGAGGCACGACGGUUACAGGCGGAUGGGCGCGACGGUUUAGAUCUGAAGAAGAAAAGAGAGGGUGGCGGUUGGGUUCGGCGAGCGGCGGCGGUUUUGCUUCGCGAACGGAGAUGGAGACGGCAAUUCGGCGCGCGGGACGACUGCAACGCAAAUCUGGACUGGCAGCGGCACGGUCUUGCUUCGCGGCUGGGUAUGGUGAAAAAGAAAGAGAAACGGAAGAAGAGAAGUCUCGGGUGGCGGUUGCUGGGCUACGGCGGUUGCUGGGCUGCGGCGGAAGGAGAAAAUGGAAGGAAGAGAUCGGCGGAAAGAAGGAGAAGAUGGAUGGGAGUCACGAUCGCACGGGAAGAAGAAGGGAGAAAAGAAAAGAAAAGAAAAGAAGAAAAGAAAAAUAAUAAAGAAAUUUUUAAUAUAAAGUAAAAUAAAAAUAUAUAUAUAUAUAUAUAUAUAUAUAUUACCUUUUUGGGCAUUACAUUCUUCCCUCCUUAAGAAACUUUCGUCCUCGAAAGUUCUAAUCCUGAAAUAACUCUGGAUAACGAGUCCUCAUUUCUUCCUCUCGCUCCCAUGUCGCCUCUUCAAUUCGAUGAUUCCGCCACAAAACCUUUACUAAUGGAAUGCUUCUAUUACGAAGCAUCUUUACCUCUCUAGCCAAAAUCUCCACAGGUUGUUCAACAUAGCUCAAAUGCUCGUCAAUCUCCAAGGUUCAUAGUCCACUACAUGAGAUGUAUCGGCCACAUACUUCCUCAACAUCGAAACAUGGAAAACAUUAUGAACUGCAGAGAGAGAUGGUGGUAAUGCCAAGCGAUACGCCACAACACCAACCCUCUCUAAGAUCUCAAAUGGUCCAACAAAACGAGGACUUAACUUUCCCUUCUCAAAACGCAUAACACCCUUCAUAGGUGCUACCUUCAAGAAUACCUUUUCUCCCACAUCGAACUUAAGGUCUUUUCGCCGUACAUCUGCAUAACUCUUCUGUCUACUCUGCGCUGUUUGCAUACGCGUCCUAAUCGUUUGAAUAGCCUCAUUAGUAGACCGAACUAAUUCAGGUCCCAUCAAUCUAUGUUCACCAACCUCACUCCAACAAACAGGGGUUCUACAACAUUUGCCAUACAAAGCCUCAAAUGGUGCCAUACCGAUGGUAGCCUGGAAACUGUUGUUAUAAGCAAACUCCAUCAAAUGUAGAUGAGAGUCCCAACUACCUGGAAACUCUAUAACACAAGCUCGUAGCAUAUCCUCUAAAACUUGGUUCAAACGUUCAGUUUGACCAUCAGUCUGUGGAUGAAAGGCUGUACUGAAAUCCAAUCUCGUACCCAUAGCAGUCUGAAGUCCCUUCCAAAACUUGGAAGUAAACCGUGCAUCCCUAUCAGAAACAAUCGAUACAGGCACUCCAUGCAGUCUCACAAUCUCAGUUAAAUACAACUCUGCCCACUUACUAGCAGUAUAAGUGGAUUUUCCUGGUACAAAAUGUGCCGAUUUCGUAAGCCUGUCUAUGACAACCAGAAUCACUGUGAAACCCUUCAGGGUCUUAGGCAGCCCUGAAAUAAAAUCCAUCGACACAUUCUCCCACUUCCACUCUGGCACACUUAAGGUUGUAAUAAACCUGCUGGUUUCUGUCUAGGUGCCUUAACUUGCUGACAUACUAGACACUUACUAACAAAUUCCGCCACUUCCCUUUUCAUAUUCCGCCACCAAUAAAAUCGUUUUAGAUCCUGAUACAUUUUCGUGCUACCAGGAUGCAUGGAAAAUGGGGAAUUAUGGGCUUCAUCUAGUAAGUCAAUCUUAACUGUACUGUUCGCUGGCACACAUAAACGUCUCUCAAACAUCAACCCACCAUCAGAGGAUAUGGAGAACUCAUCAGUCUGCCCUGUUUCAACAAGGCGACGUCUCUCCAUCAAAUAAGGAUCAUUACUCUGAGCAUCAACAAUCUUGUGCCUCAGAGUCGGUUGCACCGUUAAUUGAGCUAGCUGUGAGGUGACUCUCCCCACAGACACUGCAAUCUCAGCUCUCUCCAAGUCUCGAUGCAAUGGUACCUGUCUAGUAAUGAGUGCUGCCGAAUGUGAUACUUUUCUACUAAGAGCAUCAGCCACCACAUUCGCCUUACCAGGAUGGUAUAAUAUCUCACAGUCAUAAUCUUUUACCAACUCGAGCCACCUUCGCUGUCUCAUAUUCAACUCCUUCUGAGUGAAGAAGUACUUUAGGCUCUUAUGGUCAGUAAAGAUUUGUAUCUUUUCACCGUACAAGUAAUGUCUCCAUAUCUUCAAUGCAAAAACCACUGCUGCCAACUCCAAAUCAUGUGUGGGGUAGUUCUGCUCGUGACUCUUCAACUGACGAGAGGCAUAAGCAACCACCUUACCUUUCUGCAUCAAAACACAACCCAGUCCUUUCUUGGAAGCAUCACUGUAAAUCACAAAACUUCCAGAUCCAUCUGGUACAGUAAGGACCGGUGCAGUAACUAACCUUUGCUUUAAGUUCUGAAAACUAUCCUCACAAGCUGGACUCCAAACAAACGGAGUUCCCUUCCUUGUCAACUGAGUCAAAGGAGUAGCCAAACGUGAAAAAUCCUCCACAAACCUCCGGUAAUACCCUGCUAAACCCAGAAAACUACGAACCUCACUAACUGUGAGGGUCGAGACCAACUGGUAACCGCUUCUAUCUUUGCAGGGUCUACUGAAACUCCCUCACUGGAAACCACAUGACCAAGAAAAGCCACCUGCUUCAACCAAAAUUCGCACUUAGAACUUAGCAUACAGUUUAUUGACUCGAAGAGUCUCUAACACCUUAUGUAAGUGUUCCUCAUGUUCGGCUUCAGUCUUGGAAUAAACCAAAAUAUCAUCAAUGAAGACUAUCACAAAAGUGUCCAAGAAAUCCUUAAACACCCUGUUCAUCAAAUCCAUAAAUACAGCAGGUGCAUUAGUCAAACCAAAAGACAUUACUAUGAAUUCAUAAUGUCCAUACCUCGAACGAAAAGCAGUCUUAGGAAUAUCACGGUCUCUAAUCCUCAACUGGUGAUAACCUGACCGUAAGUCAAUCUUAGAGAACACCGUGGCUCCCUGUAACUGAUCGAACAAAUCAUCGAUUCUGGGUAAAGGAUACCUGUUCUUGACUGUUACUUUAUUCAACUCUCUAUAGUCAAUGCAAAGACGCAUCGACCCAUCCUUCUUCUUCACAAACAAUACUGGUGCACCCCAAGGUGACACACUAGGUCGAAUAAAGCCUUUGUCAAGCAAUUCCUGUAACUGUACCUUCAGUUCUUUCAACUCAGCAGGAGCCAUCCUAUAAGGGGCUCUAGAAAUAGGAGUAGUGUUUGGCUCCAACUCAAUGGCAAAAUCAAUCUCUAUGUGGCGCAGUCCUGGAAGAUCUUUUGGAAAUACAUCUGGGUAUUCUCUUACCACAGGUUCUGAAGUUAAAGAAGUCUCACCUUCCCUAGUAUCCACCACACUUGCCAAAAUACUCCAAGUACCCUGGCUGAGUAGUUUACUAGCUUUCAUAGCUGAGAUUACUUUAGGCAGUACUACUGUUCCUACUCCCUUGAAUUUAAAGCUAGAUGCAGUAGGGGGACUAAACACAACUUCCUUACGAGAACAAUCAAUACUAGCAUGAUUAGUAGCUAGCCAAUCCAUACCUAAAAUUACAUCAAAGUCACGCAUAUCUAAUACCAACAAGGUUACGUCCAGCACACGACCAGCUAUCUCAAUUUCACAUGCUUUAAUCUUUUCCUUAGACAACAUAAUUUCUCCAGACGGUGUAGACACUGACAAAACAUAGUCUAAGGGUUCCACCUCUAAGCAUGCAUGCGUCACAAAAAGCGAUGAAAUAAAUGAAUGAGAAGAUCCCGAGUCAAACAAGGUCAAGGCAAAAUGCCCUAAUACUGGUAAUGUACCUGUCACUACUGUGCCGGCCUUCUCUGCCUCUGAUCUAUUAGUGGCAAAGAUUGUACCCCGCUGUGGAGGUCUCUCUCCCUGACUGCUCGAUCCAGCCCCAGUAGAUCUCAAGGGACACCUAUCAGCCAUGUGUCCCUCUUGCUUGCACUUAUAACAGACUCUCGUUCCCAUCAAACAACGACCCAGGUGGCGUUUCCCACACGUAUUACAUACUGGCCUCUCUUGAGUAGUGUCUCCUGCACCGCCAGAACUCUGCUGGAAACUGCGAAAAGAAUCACCUGGUCUCAUGUUCCUCUGAGGAACUCCUACAGUUCUCUGCUCUACUUUUCUCUUUUGACCGACGACGAUCCCUUAUUAAAGCUCCUUGGCUGUCUUUCAUCCUUCCCAAUACUCAUAUCCACUGCCAGACGCAGUGCUUCAGCUUGGGUAGUGGGCUUUAGUGCUCGCACAAAACCCCUAAUUUCAUCUCUCAAUCCCUUGACGAACCUAUCAGCUCUAGCCUGCUCAUUACUAACAAGCUCAGGGGCAAAACGUGACAGCAUAUCAAACUCCUGGUCGUACUCCUCGACUGUCAUAUAUCCUUGCUUCAACUCCAAGAAUUCCUGGCUUUUGGCGUCUCUAAGGUUAGCCGAGAAAAACUUGGUAUAGAAGCAGUUCUUAAACUGAUCCCAGGUAAUUUGCCUCACAUCUCCACCUAGCAUGCGCAUUGUAGUCCUCCACCAGAUAAUGCCUCUGUCCCUCAGUAGAAAAGCAGCACACUGAACUCUGUGCUCCUCGGACAUCUCAUGUAAUUAAAUAUGGUUUCCACAGAGGACAACCACAUUUCAGCUUUAGUAGGAUCCUCCAGUGACCCAUCAAACGUCUGAGGGUCAUACUUCCGAAAGUCCCUCAAAUGUUUCGCCUCAGCAGAAAGUUGGUUAGGUAAUUCUUGUGCAGGAGGGGCUGCUGGUGCAGGGGAACUACAGGUGCAGGUGGAACCAGGUGCCUGCUGGUUUUGAGCUAUAGCUGUCAUAAGUUCUGUAAACCUCUGCUCCAUGUGAGCAGACAGUGCAUCAAACUCAACGUGAGUCACGGGUGCAGCAGGAAUUCGCUGUUCAGCUUGACCCUCAGUAGGCUGAUUACGACCUGCUCCUCUACCUCGGCCUCCUGCUCUCUACGACCUCCUCUACGUACUUCUUCCCUUGGCGGCAUAAUUCCUAUUACCACCAACAACACUCUUUAACAAAAUCUUAAUCAUAAACAUAAGCAAGUCUUUAUCGUCAUGCAAUCUAGUUUAAUUUAGGCAAGGUCAUGCAAAUAAACCAUACAUAUAAGCAUCAAGCAUACCUGACGAGAGACGAAGGGUCGCGUUAGCCAUAGGAACACAAAAACAUAGACUUACAUCGUAAGUCAGUCUACAGAACCUAAAACUUAGGCUCUGAUACCAACUGUAACGACCCAACUUUUCUAGGUAAGUCGAGGUCAUUAAUUUUUAAUAAAAGACUUUAUUGAUACAAAAUGAAACGUAAGUCAAUUUAAAACAAUCUAUGUCAGGCCUGAUUUUCAAAUAUUCAAGAAAACUUAAAAAUAACACUAUUUACAAAUAAAAGUUUGUAAACUAAGUUUUAGUACAUCUUAAACCUUAAAAGAAACCAUAAGCGGAAGCAAAAUGACACAGUUCCUAUGGAAUCACGCUUCCUUCCUCCCCCUCGCCGGUUUGCCACCUUUAUUUCCUUUGCCUGAAAAUUAAACAUAAGAAGGGUGAGUAUAACAAUACUCAGUAAGAGACCCUUACUGUCUCCGUCAGGGAAAAAUAAUUGUUAAAGUUCUAUUGGGACACCCUGUACAGUCGCAGUCUUGUGAUCGCGUAGGAUACACAUUUCAGUCUAACGCCCCGAAGGACGUACAUAUCAGUCUAACGCCCCGAGGGACGUACAUAUCAGUCUAACGCCCCGAGGACGUACAUAUCAGUCUAACGCCCGAGGGACGUUCAUAUCAGUCUAGUGUUCUGCAGAAACACAUAUCAGUCAAAUGCUCCCGAAGGUGCAAAAUAAAUUGGUGAUCCUGGGACACCUACAAGGUAAACAUCCCAAUACACAACCUAACAAUUUAUCCCUCAUUCCAUUCAACCCAUCUUUCAGUUACUUCAAAUCACAAAGUCCUUUCUUCAACAUCCUAACAGUCAACUUAUUUUACUACAAUCAUAUGUCUGUCAAUAAUAUGCUAAUACAUCAGUCAAUUCACUAUACAGUCAAGUCAAUACACCCCUCAGUUCACCAGCACAAACCACAGUUCAGUAUAAUCCACAUCCACACCGAACAAAUUCACUAGUUCACAUCCAAUCUUUAUACAGCACAAUCUAUUAAUAUCAUCAUGUACACUAAGCAUAAUUUCAGUCAUUCACAUGUAUACUUUCGCAAUCCACAUCAAUUCACACAUCAAUGUAUAUAUAUAUGUUUCCAGUCAAAUACAACAUACACUAAACAUUUAGUCUGCAAUCAAACAUGUACAUCUUAAUCAUCAUCCAUACAGUCCAACACAACUCAAAAACUUUAGGUGAGUCCAGUAGAAAAUCCCUUACCUCACUUUUAUGCAGUUCUUCAAUCUACUAAAUCCAAUGAAUCAAAUCCUAACAUAAUCAAUCAUAAAAUCAACAUCUUCUAAAUAGUUUCAACCAUUCAAAUUACCCCAUAUGUAAAUUCACAACUUACCCAAGAAGUGAGAGAAUCAAGUCCACUUCAACCUUUUGGAAAAUCAAGGAUUCGCUCACUGAAUCAAGAUGUACCUUCAAGAAUUAAGCAUUUCGCCAACAAUUAAAUCCAAUGGCAGCAUCCAACAAAAACCAAGAAACCAACAAAAACCAUAACUUGUUCUUACCCAAAUAUGAGCCCAAUGGUUCACGACGAGGCAGAUCUGGACGACGAUUUGCUUUCCGAGGAGGCACGACGGUUGUGAGCGAAGAGGCACGGCAGUUACAGGCAGAUGGCGCGCGACGGUUUAGAUCUGAAGAAGAAAGAGAGGGUGGCAGUUGGGUUCGGCGAGCGGCGGCGGUUUUGCUUCGCGAACGGAGAUGGAGACGGCAGUUCGGCGCGCGGGACGAUGCAACGCAAAUCUGGACUGGCAGCGGCACGGUCUUGCUUCGCGGCUGGGUAUGGUGAAAAAGAAAGAGAAACGGAAGAAGAGAAGUCUCGGUGCGGUUGCUGGGCUACGGGCGGUUGCUGGGCUGCGGCGGAAGGAGAAAAUGGAAGGAAGAGAUCGGCGGAAAGAAGGAGAAGAUGGAUGGAGUCAGAUCGCACGGGGAAGAAGAAGGGAGAAAGAAAAGAAAAAGAAAAAGAAGAAAAAAAAAUAAUAAAGAAAUUUUAAUACUAAAGUAAAAUAAAAAUAUAUAUAUAUAAUAUAUAAUAUAUAUAUAUAUAUUUACCUUUCUUUGGGCAUUACAUUUUUUUUUUAAUUUUAGCAAAUAACAUUUUUUGCACGUGCAUAAUAUUUAUAAAAUACCAAAAUAUCCACAUUCUCCAACUAAAAUUAUUUUGUUUCUAUGUUGUAAUUAAUUUAUAUUAUGCAUUUAUCAACUUUUAAUUAUUUUUUACCUGAAAAAAGAUACAUAAACUCAUAUAUAUACUUUUUUCUUAAUAUCUCGGGACUCAACUAAUGGAUUCAAGACUUUAACUUUAUUUAAUCUUACUAAUUUCAAAAUAACCUAAUUGAAUUUGAAUUUCAAAAUAACCAAAUUGAAUUUCAACAUAACAAAAUUAUUAUUUUUCAAAUUUGAUAAUCUCAGAAAUAGAUUUUGUAUCAAAAUAACUUUAAUUGAAUUUCAAAAUUAAAAAAUAUCAACUUAUUCACUCUUUAUCUCACAAUAAUAUUAAUGGCUUGAAUAUCAAGAUAAUUAAAUUAUUGUUUUUAAAAUUGGGAGAAACUCAACAUUAAAAAAUAUCAACUUAUUCACACACAAUCACACGCGCACACACAUACAUACACUUGCACGCACGUGCACCCAUACACGCACACACACACGCGUGCACACACACACACACACACAAACGCACACAUGCACACGCACACCAAACCGCACGCACACAAAUACACACACACACGCACACUAAUGGUUCAAUUUCAUCGAUUGUUCCUAUUUUUCUGACAGUUUAUUUUUGCCAUCGAUAGAGGAUCUUCCGACAGACCUGCGUGACGGUGUGUGUUGACAGCUUAAUUUCGUUGGCAAAAGAAAAGUCGAUUAGUUUUUGAAGAUUUACUGACGAUAUUUGUCAUCGACAAAGGGUAAAUUUCUUGUAGUGCAUGUACAUCAAACAUAUCAAAUUUGUUAAGUGUACCAAUGAAGUAUAAGAAGUUUAUUAGUGGUGUAUCAAGCGUAUCAAACUUAUAAGUGAAGUCUUUAAGUGUAUCAAACUAAUCAAGUGUAUCAAGGUCUCAGGGUAUCAAGUGUAUCAAGAAGAAUCAAGUGUAACGAGAAGUAUUAUGUGGAACGAGAAGUAUUAUGUGUAUGAAGAUGUUUCAGGUGUGUAUCAAAAAGUAUCGAGUGUAUCAAUGAGUACCGAGUGCAUGAAUUGUAUCUAUCAAAUGUAUCAAGUGUAUCAGUAAGAAAUAUCAAGUGUAUCAAGCGGUAUUAGGUGUAUCAGACGUGUAUAAGGUGUAUCAAAUGUACAUCAAUAACGAGGGCAUUUGUGACAUUUUACCUCUUGAUGUGUGAGUUGGUCUUUGUUUUUGUCAUUUUCUCAAAUAAUAAAGUAUGUGUUCUAUGAACUUAAUUAUUAUAACUUACACUACUACAAAAACAGGCUCUCUUGACGUUUGCAGUUUUCCUUUCUUGACGUUUUUUUCAAAAAACGUCAAGAAAGAUUUCAUUUUUAAUAAAAAACGUCAAGAAAUUUUUUGAAACAUCAUUCUUGACGUUUAUUAAAUGUCAAGUAAAAUAAAUUUUUCUUUGACGUUUUUAAAACAUCAAGAAAUAUCUAUUAAUUUUUUGACGUUUUAAAACGUCAAGAAGCGUAUGAAUUCGACAUGCUUGACGUUUCUUAAACGUCAAGAAUUUAAAAUUUUACUCGACGUUUUAAAAACGUCAAGAAAUUCAUAAAAUAUUCAAGAAUAUUUUUUAAAUUACACUGAGAAGGUAUCGAAUUUUAAUUUUCAGCUCUAACAUUUUUCCUAAUCUACUUUUUUCUUCUUCACGACUGAGUAUUCGAGGGAGUCAUUUUUUGAAUUUGUUGACAUUUUUUAAACGUUAAGUAAGAUCAUUUUUUUUUUUACAUUUUAAAAAUGUCAAGUGUUAUUAAAUAAAUAUAAAAAAUAUAUUGGGCUAAUUUUAUUUCUUUAAAAUCUCUUUAAAUAUAUAGAUACAAUAAUAAAAAUCUCUUUAAAUAUAUAGAUACAACAAUAAAAAUUUCUUUAAAUAUAUAUAGAAAAAAAAUAUUGUACUAAUAUUAUUCAGAAUCACUUUAAAUAUAUAUAGAAAAAAUUAUUGUGCAAAUAUUAUUUUUUAAAAAGCCCUAGCCCCUUUCUACUCAAAACACGCGUGUUCCCCUUUCCCUCUCCAGCCGAAAUCCUUCCCAUUCGAAAAAAGUGUGUUCAGCAGUCGUCGUUCGCUUUCAACGCCUAUCCGUUCGCCUUCAACGUCUGUCCGUUCGAUUUCACCGUCGAGUUCCACCUCUUCGAAUCCCUCACGUCCGUCGUUUCAAAGUCCUUCGUCCGCUGCAUUCCAUCUUUCCAAAAUCCCUCAGUGCCUCACGCUACUGCGUGCCCGUCAUUUCGACUUCACCAACGAGUGCCUCACGUUCGUUGCUUCAAAAUCCAUCAUCCACUAAGUUGAGGUUAGGCUUUUAUUUCCCUAAAACAUAUAACAAUUUCAUUAUUCUUCAUUAUAUAAACUCAGAUGGCAUGAUUGGCAAUAAUAGAUAGGAAGGAUGGAGGUGUAAACUUCGAAUUGAUUGAAAUUCGUAUACUUUUAUUCAAUCUUUAAAGUACUGUAGUUUUUCUUCACCAUCAAAUUUUAUUAGGAUUUAAAGAAAACAAAUGAAUGUAUGAACAAAUUUUUGGGAGUGCAUGUCAUAUAAUCAACUUCCCUCUUUCAGUAAUUUUGAAGAUCUCAUAUAACAAUACUACUAAUUGAGAGCUUUGGAGGAUGAGUCAAUUCUUCUCCCUUCGUGAAAAGAAAAAGAAAAAAAGAUCAUGUAUUCUCUUUGUUUGUUACCUUAUGUUGUCCAAGGUUUUGCCUUCUUCCUUAAUAAUUUGGAGGUGUUUUAACUAAUUUUUUCAUUCACCCUCUUUUUGCCAUAGUUGCUUUUGUGUGCAGCUUGAGAUUUUUAAUUCAAUUGUGUGUUUUUACUUUUUUCUAUUGGGUGAAUUCUGUUUUGACUUUUUUUAAGCUAAAUAUAAUUAAUUGUUUCCUAUGGAACCAUAACCUUGAUCUUGGUUAUAGAUUUCAUUUUAAGGUAAAAGUAAAACACUCUUAUUUGAAUGAUUAUGUUGUAUUAUCCAUUGAAAGACUUGGUGUUGUAAUUGCCUUGUCUUCCUCAGGUAUUCUGUUGUAUGGUUGAUUACGAUCUUCAUGAUUGGAAUCUUUGUUUAGUGAAGCUCAUUUUGUUUGAUUUACUCAGUCGUGCAAUUGCUUUCUUUUUUAUGAUCACUUUAAAAAAGAAAUGAGUUUAGUUAGUUCUUUUAAUUUUCUUAAGUUUCAUUUGUAAUGCAUGAAAAUCUCUUAGCAGUAGAAACUGAAGACCAUAAUUGUAGAAGAUUUGUAUAGAUUGGAUUCACAUUCUCAACAUUGGUUAUACAGGCAUUACUUAUCAUUGUCCUUCCACUUUAAUUAUCAAUAGUGACAAUAACUUUAUUUCUCAUUAGAUUUACAAUGAUGGAUAAAUCUUGGAUGCACAAGAGUAGAUUGUCUAAAGAUUAUGAGUUGGGUGUGGAAAACUUCAUCAAAUUUGGAUUUUCUAAUACAACUAGCUCCUAUAUUCGUUGUCCUUGUUUGAAAUGUGGGAAUUGUGAAAAACAUAGUAGAAAGGGUGUUAGAGAUCACUUGUAUGUUAAUGGUAUUGAUGAAAGUUAUAAAUUUUGGUUUUGGCAUGGGGAAGAACUUCCUAACUCAUCCUUCUAUGAUGAAUCUUCAAAGUUUGACACCCAUACAUGUGAAGAUCAGGAUGUUGGAAGUGUAAAAGAAAUGAUUGAAGUUGCUCAUGAGGAGUAUUCAAAAGACCCAACUGGAUUUGAGAAGUUGCUUAUUGAUGCUGAAAAACCAUUGUACGAAGGAUGCAAAAAGUACACAAAGUUGUCUACUCUAGUCAAAUUGUAUAAUUUAAAAGUUAGGUAUGGAUAGAGUGAUACUAGUUUUUCAGAAUUACUUGAAACUUUGAAGGAAAUUCUGCCUAAUACCAAUGAGCUCCCGAAUUCAUUGUAUGAAGCAAAGAAAACAUUAGGUGCAUUAGGAAUGGAAUAUGAAAAGAUUCAUGCAUGCCCGAAUAAUUUUGUCUCUAUAGAAAAGAAUUUGCUAAUGCAAUUGAAUGUCAUGAAUGUUGUCAAUCAAGGUGGAAAAACGUCAAGGAUACAAAUGAAAGGAGAAAGCAAAUUCCCUCUAAAGUGAUAUGGUACUUUCCAAUCAUUCCACGAUUUAAAAGGCUAUUCAGAAGCAUUGAAUGUGCUGAAAACUUGACUUGGCAUUCUACUGAAAGAAUUAAUGAUGGUAAGUUACGACAUCCAGCCAGACUCUCCAGCAUGGAAGUUAGUAGACAUGAAAUGGCAAGACUUUGGUUCUGAACCCAUAAAUCUUCGUUUAGCAUUGUCAGCCGAUGGAGUAAAUCCUCAUGGUGACAUGAGUUCUAAAUACAGUUGUUGGCCGGUAGUGAUGGUUAUUUACAAUCUUCCACCAUGGUUGUGUAUGAAAAGAAAGUACAUGAUGCUAUCAAUGCUAAUUUCAGGACCAAAACAACCAGGGGAUGACAUAGGCAUAUACUUAGCACCACUAAUUGAAGAUUUAAAACUUUUAUGGGAAAGUGGUGUUGAAUGUUAUGAUGCUUAUCGAGAAGAACCAUUCAACUUAAGGUCAGUUUUGUUGUGGACAAUCAAUGAUUUUCCUGCAUAUGGUAACCUUAGUGGAUGUUGUGUGAAAGGGUAUAAAGCAUGCCCAAUUUGUGGAGAUAAUACAAAUUCUAUAAGGUUAAAGUAUGGGAAGAAAAUGGCAUACCUUGGACAUCGUAGAUUUUUGGCACGAAAUCAUCUGUAUCGACGACAAAAGAAGUCAUUCAAUGGUAAAAAAGAACUUGAUACAAUUCCAGAGCCACUUUAUGGGGAGGAUGUGUAUUUAAAAUUGAAAGAUCUUGAAUUUUCUAGAGGGAAGAAGAACCAUAAGAAACGGUUGAUGAACAGAAGUGACAAAAUUUGUUGGAAUAGAUUAUCUUCUUUUUUUGAGUUGCCAUACUGGAAGGAUCUUCAUGUUAGACAUUGUUUAGAUGUGAUGCACAUUGAAAAAAAUGUUUGCAUGAAUAUCUUAGGUACAUUUCUUGAUAUUCCUGGAAAAAGUAAGGAUGGAUUGAAUGCUAGACGCGAUUUAGUUGAUCUAAAACUUCGACCAGAGCUUGCCCCUAUCAGAAUAUGUUACUCCUACUAAUUACUUUCAUUAUGUAAAAAAGACAUCUAAACGUGAGGAUGAGAUUAUACUUGAGAAUAAAGAACUUCGAAGGCGUGUAAGCGAAUUAGAAGCACAUAACCACUCAAACUUGUCUAGACCAUUAUCUGGACAUGGUAGCUGUUCGAAGCCAAAUAUCUUAGAAGAGAGUGACUCGAUGAAAAUAAUCAAAGGGAAGAGUAAGUUGAUGGAUAAAAUCGAAGGGAAAGAGGUGGAGGAGAUCAAUGUAAAUGACGACAAAGUAGAGUUGGACAUCUUUAAGGUAUGUGAUCGAUCCUCUAAUAAACUCAAAUUCUUAAUAUUCAUAUCAUAUUGAAAGUGAAUGUUUUUCUUGAAUUAGGAGAGAGCCUUAAUAAAAAUGACUAAGGAAAAAGAGGUUGUCUGUGAAUCGACGUCAGUUUUGCCAAUGGGAAUGAAGUUGAUUCUCAUAUACGUUGAGAAGAUAAUGGAGAAAGAUUCUAGUAUCACUAUUCCACUACUGUUGGCAUUUUUGGUAUUAGUCGAAAGACUUCUGUUCUCCGAGAGGACAUCAUUGAUCUUUGUAACAUGAAUGAGGUCAAAACAUUUACAUUGGUGGCCUAUAUGACGUAAGUAUCAAUUUCAUUUCUUUAGAUCUAAAUUUAUGUAUCUCGUUUACAAGUUUAUAAUAUUUUGUAGGUACUUGUAUUCAUCUGUUCUUGGUUCGAAGGAAACUAUACAGUAUGUCUUUGUAGAUCCAUCCCUCACCUCUGUCGGACACUCGCAAGAAUCUCGAGUUCGACACUUAUGCAGUAGAUUGAUGGUCUCAAAGAUUAACGAAAUAGUUCUUGCUCCUUUUAAUCCUGGGUAAGUCAAGUUAUUUUAUUACUUGCAUUGCAAAAAACUAGUACUAAUAUUUUGUAUAAUUAGGGGUCAUUGGGCACUGCUGGCCAUAAAUGCAUAUGAUGAUAUAGUAUUUUACCUCGACUCACUAAGGACAACAUCGAAGUCAACUAUAAGAUACGUCACCGACACGUAAGUUAAUCUAGUAUUUCAUUUAGUGUUGAUUCUUAUAUGCAUGUACACAAUAUUUAAACUAUUUGUUCAAUCUUAUCUUGUCAAAACAGAGCAAUAGCGAUGUUUCAGUCACAAAAGAACAUUAAAAAAAGUAGAAAACAAACUUUAUGGCUAACAGUAAAGGUAAGUAUCAACUUUUAAAGUCAUUAAAUUUUUGUAGACUACUAGCAAUUAGGAUUACUUUGUUAUUCAAAUUUGUUGCUUUUAUAUAGUGUCCACUGCAAGGAAGUAUUGAGUGUGGAUACUAUGUGAUGAGGUAUAUGAGAGAAAUUGUGACUAGGGGAAGCAUUGUCAUAUCCGAUGCGGUAUGUUAUAUAUCAAACUAUUGGUUUUGUGAGUUAAUUGGUUUAUUUGUAUAGUCAGUUAAUUCAUUUAAUUUAUUUUGUAUGUUUAUUGAUUGAUACACGAAGAUCAUACUCACAGGCAGAACUACACGAGGUGCGAGUUGAGUUAGCUGACUUUUUGGGUUCUUACAUAUGAUUAUGACCAAUAUUUUGUGAUUCUGAAGUAGGAAAUUUUUUGUUGUGUCGCUUCUUUAUGACCCUAAACUUUAUGUAUAGAAACUUUAGCCGAUAAUUCUUUUGAAUUGUUCAUAUGGAGGAAGGGGGGAGGGGGGUUCAUUCGUAUAUAUUUUUAUUAUUGUUAUAGCUAGCAUGUUUUGUGACUUUUUAAGUUGAUUUGGAUUCAUGGCAAUGUAAUGCCAUAUGAAAUCUAAUGUAAAGCCUAUUUCAUUAUGUAUAUGUAAAGUCUUGGAAUUGAAUAUAUAUGGUGAAUGGUUUUAUUUAUAUAUGUUUGAGAUUUGAAACUAUAUUUGAUGAAUAUCAAAUAUCUAUGAAACUGUUGUGGACAAUUACAGGAUAAUUACAGGACAAUCAGAAUAUAUUUCUUUCCAUUACAGCAUAAUUCAAUUACAAUUUCUUUUUUUAAAAAAAAUUAAAAAAUGCUUGACGGUUUUAAAAUGUCACGAACAAUUGCAAGCUUGACGGUUUUAAACUGUCAUGAACAAUUGCAUUUUUACGGUUGACAAAUGUCAAAACAAUUACAUUCUUGACAGUUUUAAAAUGUCAUGAAUAGUAAAAUUCUUGACGGGUUUAAAAUGUCAUAAACCAGUUCAUCCUUGACGGCUUUAAAAUGUCAUAAACAAUACCAGUCCUGACGGUUCUAAAACGUCAUGAACAUAAGUAUAUUUGACGUUUAUAAAACGUCAACGUUCACUAUUCUUGACGUUUAAUCAACCGUCAAGAACUUUGCCUUUCUUGACGCUGGCUUCAACGACGUUUUUAAAACCGUCAAGAGAGCCGUCUCUUGAAGUUUAAAAACGUCAAGAGAGCCUGUUUUUGUAGUAGUGUUAUUUUGCCAUUUUCGCAAGUGUCCCUUAAUUGUAAUACAUGUAUAUGUGACAUAAUCUAAUCAAACUAACCAUAAAUGGACUUAAUGUAUCAGGUAUUAGGUGUAUCAGACGUGUAUAAGGUGUAUCAAAUGUACAUCAAUAACGAGGGCAUUUGUGACAUUUUACCUCUUGAUGUGUGAGCUGGUCUUUGUUUUUGUCACUUUCUCAAAUAAUAAAGUAUGUGUUCUAUGGACUUAAUUAUUAUAACUUAUUUUGCCAUUUUCGCAAGUGUCCCUUAAUUGUAAUACAUGUAUAUGUGACAUAAUCUAAUCAAACUAACUCAUAAAUGGACUUAAUCGAUCUCAUGGACCACGAAUUCUUCAAUUACUUGCAAAUUUGGUGAGUUCCUUCAAACAGUGGGCGAAGAGCUUAAUUUUGAGAGAGAGGAAAAGUCGUGAAGAGUAUAUGCGAGAGAGGGGGAACGUGCCAGAGAGCAUUUGCGAGAGAGCUAAAGACAGCGACGAUGUGGGAUGAAGUAAGGUUUUUUUCGGUCGUUGUUCACAGUGGGAUGAAAGCUUCGAAUUAUUUGUUUUAAAUCAAAAGGCGUAAUGAUUGAAGGAAAACAUUUAUUUUUUAUUAGGGUAAUUUUUAAUGACACAUAAUUUAUGUCAUUAAUUAACAAUGCGAAAAUUUUGUCAAGAAAACUCAAUUUGUGUCACGAAAAAUUUUGUAUUUUUAUUUUUAACGACACAUUUUAUUCCCUCAUGUCCCUUUUUCUUGAUUUCAAGUGUCAUUAAAACUUAUUGUUGAAUAAGAAAUUUUGAGACCAAUCACAAGUUGCCACAUCAUUUAUUAAGUUAAUGAUGAAAAGUACAAAUAAUUAAAUUUGGGACUAAUUAAAAUUGACAUAUGCUCCAAAUUAAAGAGUUGAAAAUAAAUAAAAUGGUCAUUCUAAUAAUGCCACAUGUUUUCAUAUUAAUAGUUGGAUUAAGUUAAUCAUUUUAGUUCAAUUAAAUAUUAUUUACUUGGACUAAGUUCAAUUAAGCCCAAAAAAUAAGCUUAAUUGAGCCCAAAGACUAAAUAUAACCUAAGUCCAUAUGGUUGAGCCCAUGCGUCUGGUCCAUGGACCAACUAGGUUCAAACCCAUAAAGCCCACCAGUGAACUCUAUAAAUAGAGGAAUUCUCCUCAUUUGUAGGGGUUGGAAAAUAUUGACUCUAGAAGAUCCAGAGAGAAUUCUUCAAAGAGCUAGAAGACUCCCUAACUCCUGAAGUUGACCAUCCUCGAAGAUUGAAGCUUCUUUAAAGAUACAAGCUUUCUUCCAAGGCUUCAACUUCAAGAACAUCACGUGCUUCGCUUCCUCCAAAUCAAGCUGAAGCAUCCAGUUGAGAGAGAAUCAGAGGAUCAAAUUCUAGAGAUUGAACCGCAUCGCAUCAAAUCAACAAAAAUACAACAUCAACUCAAGUUCAAGUCCACGAAUUAAAUUUCUCCAGAAAUCUCGUGCGAACAAAUUGGCACGCCCAGUGGGACCAUCUCUACCUCUCAUCUCUCUCUCAUCAUCUAGAUCUACAAGCAAAUCAAUGGCAUCAAAGAAAGUUGCAUCCAAAUCUUCAGCUGCAAGCGACACCUACACGGGACCUAUCACCUGUAGUCGUUCCAAGGGGAUCAUCCAAGGGCAAGACCAAGGUUCCGCCAUCGCGCAGAGCAUCCUGAAGCAAUUAAUGGAAUCUCCUAAAGCUGGAAUUGUCAUCAAGGAAAAUCCUCUAUAUAAUGAUUAUGAUUCUGCCUCUAGCAGGUCACUGAAAGAAGCACACCCAGAUGUGAUGUCCGUCAUGAUGGCUGAUGUAGCAGUCGAGACUGCCAUGGCGGAGAUGGAGAGAAAAUUAAUCUCCUGAUGAAGGUUGUUGAUGAACGAGACCACGAAAUUACAGCUUUAAAGGAGCAGAUGCAGACUCGUGAAACUCUGAAUCGAGUCAAACUUGUCGUUAAAGUUGAUGACAAAGGGAAGAACGUGGUACAAGAAAAUCAGCCACAACAACAAUCAACUUCUGUGGCUUCUCUCUCGGUUCAACAAUACAAGAUAUGAUCACAAACUCCAUCAGAGCACAAUAUGGAGGCCCAUCUCAGACUUCUUUCAUGUACUCUAAACCAUACACCAAAAGAAUCGACAACUUGAGAAUGCCGCUUGGAUAUCAGCCUCCAAAAUUCCAGCAGUUUGACGGAAAGGCAAUCCAAAACAGCACGUUGCUCACUUCGUCGAAACAUGUGAGAAUGCAGGAUCAAGAGGAGAUCAACUAGUCAGACAAUUUGUUCGAAGCUUGAAAGGAAAUGCUUUUGAAUGGUAUACUGAUCUGGAGCCAGAAAGCAUUGAGAGUUGGGAACAACUAGAAAAGGAGUUUCUCAAUCGCUUCUACAGCACCAGGCGUACUGUAAGCAUGAUGGAGCUUACAAAUACGAAACAAAGAAAGGGAGAACCAGUCAUCGACUACAUCAAUAGAUGGAGAGCUCUAAGUCUUGACUGUAAAGAUCGGCUCACCGAACUGUCGGCUGUAGAAAUGUGCACCCAAGGCAUGCACUGGGGACUCCUCUACAUUUUGCAGGGAAUAAAGCCCCGCACAUUUGAAGAACUGGCAACUCGAGCUCAUGAUAUGGAGUUGAGCAUCGCCAGUAGAGGAACUAAAGAUUUUCUUGUUCCUGAAGUAAAGAAAGAUAAGAAAGAGAUGAAAGGUGCUGAAAAGAUAGUGAAAAGCACCGCGAAAGAAUCUAUGGUCGUAAACACAACCCCGCUGAAAUUCUCCAAAGGAAAGGAAGCGAGGGUUGAAAAGAAGGAUGAUGGAAGCGAAAGGCGACGUCUGACUUUAAAAGAAAGGCAGGAAAAAGUUUACCCAUUUCCUGAUUCAGAUAUCGCUGACAUGCUAGAGCAACUACUAGAGAAGCAGCUGAUCCAGCUGCCAGAAUGUAAACGACCUGAGCAAGCAGGAAAGGUAGAUGAUCCCAAUUACUGCAAGUAUCAUCGGGUCAUCAGUCAUCCAGUAGAGAAAUGCUUCGUGCUGAAGGAGCUAAUUCUAAGGUUGGCUCGUGAGAAAAGGAUUGAGCUAGAUUUGGAGGAAGUAGCUCAAACAAACCACGCUGAAGUGACGAUAAUGUCUGAGGCUUCUUCGUCGAGAUUGAUUUUUGAGCAAAGGAAAAGCUUGGUCCAGUUCGGGACCUUUGAGCCUAUAGUUGUCCAAUUCUUUCAGGAAAUCUCAUACGAGGAUCCUCAAGGAGAGAAAAGACCAAUCGAAGAAGACGAUGAAGGGUGGAUAGUGGUGACCCACCGAAAGAAAAGACAGUCGAUCCCGACCCAAAGAGAGUCUCGCUCUUACCAAAACUAUAGAAGAGGAAAUAAGACUCAAAAGAAUAAGAAAAAGAAGAAGACUCAUAAGCUUAAGCUCGUACAUAAUGAAGACAUGAAUUUCUCUCGACCUCAACGCUUAGUGACCUUGCAGACUUCCUUCCAAAAAGCUUCCUUUGUGAUCAUCAGGAUGAAGACCCAGAAGUCGUUGCGUGUCAUGCUAUCAACACAACGGAGGAAGAAAUAAUCCCUCCAAGAUCACUAGAAGGAGAGGGAGUAUCAAAAGACCUUUCAAGGUUUAAUGUAGAGGAUCUAUUAUCACUUCCUCAAGAGACCAAAACCAUCCUUAUUGAUGCAUUGCUAAAUUCAAGAGCAUCAAGUUCGAGUACUCCGACUAUGACAUAUGAGAGUGGUUCUUAUUGUAUGUCUAUAGACUUCUCAGAUGAGGAUUUGUUGUUGGGAUCUAAACUUCAUAAUAGACCUUUGUAUGUUUCUGGAUACGUUCGAGAACAGAGAGUCGAUCGAAUCCUCAUUGAUAAUGGCUCAGCUGUCAACAUAAUGCCAAAGUCGACUAUGUGGCAAUUAGGCAUCUUGAUGGACGAGCUCUCAAAUAGCAAGCUAGUAAUUCAAGGUUUUAACCAAGGUAGCCAAAGAGCAAUAGGCAUGAUACGGUUAGAACUCAUAAUUGGCGACCUAAAGGCCAGUGCAUUGUUUCAUGUCAUAGACUCAAGGACUACUUACAAGUUGUUACUAGGGCGUCCUUGGAUUCAUGGAAACGGAGUAGUAACUUCAACACUGCAUCAGUGCUUCAAAUUUUAUCAGGACGGUGUAAAGAAGGUUGAAGCCGACUCUAAUCCAUUCUCAGAAGCUGAGUCUCACUUCGCAGAUGCAAAGUUUUAUUCAAAGAAUAAUAAUAUUUUAGAAGUUUUGCCUGCAGAAACCCCUCUUACAAAAGGAGAAGAUAAUUCACAACUGAAAUCACUCGCAACCACAGAACCACAUGAAAGUGCGAGAACCUUUAACUCUGGAAAGGGUGAAGCAUACACUAGCAGCACAAAGGGUAUGAUCUUGAAGGAUGAAAAUGCUGCAAACACACCAGUUUUGCGUUAUGUCCCUCUGUCAAGGCGCAAGAAAGGCGAAUCACCAUUCAUGGAGUCUCCAAAAGGUUUGAAAGUUGGUGACAUCGAAAUCAUAAAAGAAAGCUUCACUACACCACUAACUAAGAUAGCGAAGCAGGAGGUAAAGGUAGAUCUGGUGGAAGCAAACUUGCCCCAAAGGCGAACGAAAGACGGAUUCGACCCCAAGGCUUACAAAUUGAUGGCGAAAGCAGGUUAUGACUUCACAGCUCACACCGAGUUUAAAAGCUUGGAAAUUCAUGACCGACCUGAGCUCUCCUCAACUCAAAAGAAGCUUCUACGGAAGGACAUUCUAUACCCGUGUCGAGAAAAGGACUCGGAUACAAGUCGCCAGAACCGAUCCGUAUAACUAAAAAGGGAAGGAAAAAGUGGUUGACAUCAAUCAUAUAACUAUAGAGGAUGACAAUACUGACGUAAAAGAAGGUGAUAAUCAGAGAAUCUCAGUAUUUGAUCGAAUUAGACCAUCUGUUGCACGUCCCGUAGUAUUUGAAAGGCUAAGCAUGACAGAGGCAGAAAGAGAAAGGCUCCAGUCAGUACCAAACCUUGAGAGACAUUCGGUCUUUCGAAGGCUAACUACGACUCCCAUAAAGGAAGAAAGCACAUGCCAUGCCUUGACAACUACAAGACCAUCAGCCUUUGAAAGGCUAGGUGUGUCUAAAAAAAAAAUGUACAAGCACCCCGUGCUCCGAUUUUUAAUCAUCUCGGGGAUAAAGGAUCACACGACAACAUUGAUUCCAACAUAGCAAAGAAGAAGGAACCAAUGUCUCGUGUGAAAGUUUGGCGUCGAAUUAAGCAUACAGAUGUCGAUAAUUAUCGUAGUAAGAAGUUUCCUUGCGAGACAAAGGAAAAUGGAGAAAUUCAUAGCAACGUUCCUUCUCGCAUGAAAAGAAAAACUUUUGUUACUCUCAAUACAAGUCAAGGUUCGUUAAAGGUAAAAAGACAUGAUGUUAUACUAACGAAUCCUGAAAAAGAAGGGUCGGAACAAGGGGAAGGUGAAACUUCAUGUCAUCACAUCACCAUUAUUGAGGAAUCAGAGACUGGAACUCAUGAAGAAGACGCAGAAAAUGCCCCACAAAGUUUAGAGGAUGGUGGUCAAUCUACUGUAGACGAGCUAAAAGAGGUGAACCUUGGUACAAUAGAGGAACCACGUCCGACUUUCAUUAGUGCGUCCCUCUCUAACGAAGAGGUGGAUAAAUAUAUGAGUUUGCUCACCGAAUACAGGGACAUCUUUGCGUGGUCGUACAAGGAGAUGCCAGGACUUGACCCAAAAGUAGCAGUCCAUCAUCUUGCAAUUAAACCGGAUAUCGACCGAUUAAACAAGCACAACGACGUUUUCGACCGGAGCUUAUCCCUCAAAUCGAGGUGGAAGUCAACAAGUUGAUCGAAGCAGGAUUCAUUCGCGAGGUCAAAUAUCCAACGUGGAUAGCAAACAUUGUCCCUGUUAGAAAAAAAAAUGGACAACUUCGCGUUUGUGUAGACUUUCGCGAUCUGAAUAAUGCAUGCCCUAAAGAUGAUUUUCCCUUGCCCAUCACCGAAAUCAUGGUUGAUGCAACUACUGGACACGAGGCGUUGUCGUUUAUGGAUGGGUCGUCUGGAUAUAAUCAAAUACGGAUGGCCCUCUCAGAUGAAGAAAUGACAGCUUUCAGAACUCCAAAGGGAAUAUACUGUUACAAGGUGAUGCCCUUUGGAUUGAAAAAUGCCGCGCUACUUAUCAACGUGCCAUGCAGAAAGUGUUUGAUGAUAUGUUGCACAGGUAUGUUGAAUGUUAUGUUGAUGAUCUUGUAGUCAAAACAAAGAGACGACAAGACCAUUUGAAGGAUCUAAAAGUCGUGUUUGAUCGCUUGCGAAAAUAUCAGCUAAGGAUGAACCCUCUCAAGUGUGCGUUUGGUGUAACUUCAGGAAAAUUUCUUGGCUUCAUUGUAAGGCAUCGAGGGAUCGAAAAUAGACCAGUCCAAGAUUGAUGCCAUUCAGAAGAUGUCAAGACCUAAAAGUUUGCAUGACCUAAGAAGUCUCCAAGGACGACUGGCUUACAUCCGAAGGUUCAUCUCUAACUUGGCCGGUCGGUGUCAACCUUUUCAAAAGUUGAUGAGAAAAGGAGAAAAUUUUGUGUGGGAUGAAGCUUGUCAGAACGCUUUUGAUAGCAUAAAGAAAUACUUGCUUACUCCCCCAGUGCUGGGAGCUCCAGUACCUGACAAACCACUAAUAUUGUACAUUGCUGCACAAGAAAGGUCCUUAGGAGCAUUACUGGCACAAGAAGAGGUAAAGGGAAAGGAGCGUUCUCUCUACUAUCUAAGCAGAACAUUAAUUGGGGCUGAAGUUAACUAUUCUCCUAUCGAAAAGAUGUGUCUUGCACUUUUCUUUGCCAUUGAUAAGUUGAGGCAUUAUAUGCAGGCCUUCACGGUUCAUCUAGUGGCAAAAGCAGACCCUAUAAAGUAUGUUCUAUCCAGGCCAAUCAUCGCUGGACGCUUAGCCAAAUGGGCGGUUCUACUCCAACAAUAUGACAUUGUCUAUAUUCCCCAAAAGGCGAUAAAAGGACAAGCGCUAGCAGACUUUUUAGCAGACCACCCAAUUCCUUCGGAUUGGAAGUUAUGUGAUGACCUACCAGACGAUGAGGUUUUCUUCACAGAAGUUAUGGAACCUUGGACUAUGUACUUCGAUGGUGCAGCUCGAAGAAGUGGUGCGGGGGCAGGCAUUGUCCUCAUUUCUCCUGAGAAGCAUAUGUUGCCUUAUAGCUUUGCACUUUCCGAAUUGUGUUCAAACAAUGUGGCUGAAUAUCAGGCUUUGAUAAUUGGCCUUCAAAUAGCAUUAGAAAUCGGAGUGUCAUUCAUAGAGGUCUAUGGUGAUUCAAAAUUGAUAAUCAAUCAACUCUCGCUUCAAUAUGACGUGAAACAUGAAGACUUGAAGCCAUAUUUUGCUUAUGCUCGACAAUUGAUGGAAAAGUUUGAUAAUGUGAUGUUAGAACAUGUCCCUAGAGUAGAAAAUAAGAGAGCGGAUGCAUUGGCAAAUUUAGCCACGGCCUUGACCAUGCCAGAUGAUGUAACUCUGAACAUACCACUUUGUCAACGAUGGAUUAUACCCCCAGUUAGGCCUGAAUGUCAGGAAGUGAACAUGGCAACAUCCUAUUUGAUUGAUGAAGAAGAUUGGCGUCAACCCAUCAUAGAGUAUCUUGAACAUGGAAAGCUUCCAAAGGAUUCUCGUCAUAAAAUUGAGAUACGAAGAAGGGCAGCACACUUCAUUUAUUACAAGGGAACUUUAUAUCGCCGUUUUCUUGAAGGGCUCUUCCUUCGAUGUCUCGGAAAGGAAGAUUCGGUAAAAGCUCUAAAGGAAGUACAUGCAGGUGUUUGUGGAGCACAUCAAUCGGGACCAAAGCUUCAAUUCCAGCUAAGAAGAAUGGGCUACUACUGGCCUAAGAUGAUCCAAGAUUCAAUAGACUAUGUGAAGAAGUGUGAGCCUUGUCAAUACCAUGCAAACUUCAUACACCAACCUCCAGAACCUCUUCAUCCAACUGUGGCUUCUUGGCCUUUUGAGGCUUGGGGACUCGAUCUGGUUGGCCCCAUUACACCAAAAUCAUCAGCAGGACAUUCUUAUAUCCUAGCAGCAACAGACUAUUUUUCAAGGUGGGCUGAGGCCAUUUCAUUGAGAGAAGCCAAGAAGGAGAACGUGGCAGACUUUAUUCGAACACACAUCAUCUAUCGAUACGGUAUUCCACAUCGAAUCGUGACGGAUAAUGGAAAGCAAUUCUCCAAUAGUAUGAUGGACAAGUUAUGUGAAAAAUUCAAAUUCAAGCAAUAUAAGUCAUCCAUGUACAACGCAGCUGCGAAUGGACUAGCAGAAGCAUUCAACAAAACAUUGUGUAAUCUUUUAAAGAAAAUUGUCUCCAAGUCAAAGAGGGAUUGGCAAGAAAAGAUCGGCGAGGCAUUAUGGGCUUAUCGGACGACUCAUCGCACCCCUACAGGGGUUACACCAUAUUCGCUUAUUUACGGUGUGGAGGCUGUCCUUCCUCUCGAAAGGGAAAUUCCGUCACUAAGAAUGGCAGUACAAGAGGGAUUGACUACCGAAGAUAAUGUGAAGUUACGUCUUCAAGAAUUAGAAGCACUUGACGAAAAGCGAUUAGAGGCUCAGCAAGCAUUGGAAUGUUAUCAAGCGAGAAUGUCCAAAGCUUUUGAUAAACACGUUAAACCUCGCUCCUUUCAAGUCGGUGAUCUAGUACUUGCCGUAAGGAGACCGAUCAUCACAACAAGGCAUACAGGAAAUAAGUUCACACCUAAAUGGGAUGGACCUUACAUUGUUAAAGAAGUUUAUACAAAUGGCGCAUACAAGAUCGUUGAUCAAGACGGACUACGAAUUGGCCCAAUCAAUGGUAAAUUUCUUAAAAAAUUUAUGCUUAAUUUUGUUAGGUAAAAAAAAAAAAAAAAAAGUUGAACUACGUUAUGACUUGAUCCCUAUAUUAUAAAGGGUACGUAGGCAGCUUAAGGAAAACCUUAAGCCCAGUCCAGCAAAAAAAAAGUUGAACUACGUUAUGACUUGAUCCCUAUAUUAUAAAGGGUACGUAGGCAGCUUAAAGAAAACCUUAAGCCCAGUCCAGCAAAAAAAAAAAGUUGAACUAUGUUAUGACUUGAUCCCUAUAUUAUAAAAGGCAGCUUAAAGGAAACUUUAAGUUCAGUCCAAUAAAAAAAAAAGGAAGAAAGACAAAUUACAUUUAAUAGAAAAUAUGAUGAGGAGUGGAACAAUGAAAGAAUAAUUUUUUUUUUAUUAUUAUUAUAAACUUCUAGCAAAAAAAAAUUAAAAAGGCAUAAGUAGAUAAAUAAGAGAAAGCAGAGAAUCAUGGAGUCCAUUUAAAGUUCUUCAGCUCCUCUAGUGUGCUUUCUAAAGAUUCACGAAGUGUUGAUAGCAUUUUAGCAUCAAUAUCUCCAACGAUCGGGGCACAUUCGAGUUUGUCAAUUUCCUCACAAGUCUUCGAAAUCUCAUGUUGCUUCUGCUUCAGCUCCAGGUCGUUCUUAAAAAUUAUUCCAGAAAGUUUAGCAGACUCAACCCGCACCAUCUUUAGUUUUGCCUCUAGUUUAGCCUCCUUAGCGGACAGUCGUGUAAGACGACGUUUAGCAGUGUUGGUCUCUGCUAAUAUACGAUUCUCAUCAACUCGCAGAGUCUUCACAAAACCUUUUGCCUCCGUUAGCUGAACAUCCUUAGUUGAUUGGAGUGGAAAUGAGGAAUGUAUUUGAUUAUGGUUCUCGACACCUUGGAAGUAACCAUUCACAAGCUCCCUCAAAACAAUAAGGUUGUCGCUGCCGUUAGUCGCAAUCGCAUCAAAGAUCUUAUGCAUUUCUGGUUCAAGACUACUCAGUCGUUCAAAAGGGGUACGAAUGAUCUUCUGUCGUAGGUUUUCCCAUAAGGUUAUGGCAGCCUGUCGUCGGAGGUCAGAAAUUAAGCUGUCAGCACAAAAAUGAGAAAUCUCAGAAACUGUAAUAGGCUCUGUGCCUUCCACUUUUUGAGGAGGUCCCUUGAUCACAGGAGGACAAGCAGACACAAUAUUUGCGCCUAUAGGUUCCUUAGAGUUCCCAUUAUAAGAAAGUACAACGUUACAGUCUUCUAGAUUCAGCAUCAACUCUAGGGUAUCUUCGAUGUGUAGGUCAUGAUCACCUAAAGAAUACUACAAAAUAAUAUUAACAACAAGAAAUAAGGGGAGUAAAGGAGAGAAAAUACAAUCAAUAAAUAAAUAAAAUUGGGAGACGAAAAGAAACCAUGGGGGAAGGGACAUCGAAAAAUUGUGCAGCAUCAGGGACCCGAAUAGGAGACUCUUCAUCAUCGAUCGACUGUUUGUUAGGCUUCUUGGGUCUCUUCCAAUGGCGAUCAUCAUUGCUGCUUUGACUGUCCUCAAUACGUUUAGAAGGAUGCUUGGUAGCUAUCGAUAAGCGGUUGUCCUUACCCAUAUUGUCAAUACCACCUUUAAUAAGAUGUUUAAAUCGUGUAGAAAGAGACAAAUUAUCCACCAAGCGUUUUGUCCCUCCCUCAAUUUUCUCCACAAGUCGUUCAUCAGUUUCAUCGGAGCAUAUCUUCUGAUUUCCACUACCAAAAUUAUGUUCAAUCUUUUUUGUGGUUUUGGAUUUGAUGUGAGGGGGAGUAGGACGAUCUAUCAAAUGUUGUACUCCUUCUUGGAGGUAAUCACCGUGUUUUGCAAGCCACCAGACCUUAUAAUGAGAGGUAACAUGUGUGUCUGGAUUAGGGGCAGACACAGGAAGAUAUACUUGGGAAAGUGUAUUCUCGCGAAUACAAAUCAUCCAACAAUAUCGUACGUUAAAAAAAUUGGCUUCGGGAAUUUCUUCACCUAAGUCAUAUGGCACGUCUUGAUAAAAUCCAAAUGGUCGGCUAAAGCGACAAGGACUAUAAGGCUCAAUAACUGUGGAGGAUCCACAUUGCGAGGAUAGAAAACAAGAGCAAAUGCUUAUGAAAAAUGAAGCAUUCUAACUAAUUAACUCUCCAUCAUCCGUUAAGAGUUCGUCCUUAUUCUUUGUUGGAAGACACGCAUGCCAUGACACAUACUUUCCCUUGUGGAUAUGUGUUCGAGCCUCAAGAUUAGUAUAAUAUUUGGCCCCACCUUCACCAGAAAAUUCAACCAUGCGAGGACCCCUAAGACUCCUAGGGGCUUUAUAAUGAGUGUUGAAGUAAAGAGCAAGCCACCCAUGGACAUAGUGAAGAGGAAAACAGGCAUUUGAAUAACCAAGUGAUGAAGUAGAAUCAUGAACUUGGCGUAGGCCACUAUAAAUAUUAGCUAAAACAGGGACGGCAAGGCUAAAUGUGUAGCCUUCCGCCAUGAGGCUAGCAACCUUAAAAACCUCCGGACGAAGGGAAAGUUGCUUAUCAGGGAACACAAACACACAUAGCCAACAAGAGAGAAAUGCCGCUAGAUAGGUUUUGUCCCUAUGAUCAUCAGUGACGCUUAAGUCAAGGAACACUUUGAGUUCAGCUUUAGACCAGUCAGGACGUCUGAUGGGAAUUCCAUCUGGAUUAUGAGUUGAGCGAGGGCGAGAAGUCUUUUUAGGCUUUCGAGGAGGCGGUUUCGAAUACUUUACCUCAGAUCGUGUAACCCAAAAAGAGAUCCAUUCACUUACAGUGAUUUGAGAGUGAUCCAUGCGUUGAGAAACAAUGCGGUAAUAGGCUGCAAAUAAAUGCUCACAACUUCUUGGACAUACAUCAGGUGAUCCUAUUAAGUCUUGGUGGCAAGGAAUGCUUUCUUCAUAAAAUCUACCUUUAAUCGGGAGUCCUCCUAGUAUCCAUAAGUCCCAUAAGGAGAUGGACAUCUCACCAGCUGAGGUGUGAAGAGUGUUUGUUGAAGGACACCAUGCCUCGCAGAAAGCCCGAUCAAUGUCACUGUUGCGAUCAUAUGUAUAUAGGGAAGCCAUCACAGCAUUAAAUAGGGAGGCUCGCUUGAGUACUGCCGUAUUUCUAGCAACAACGAGCUCUAACCACUCCCAAUAAUGAGGAAGAUAGUAAAAUUCUCCAUGUACCUUGAGCACAUUUCCCCAACGAAUUUUUGGGUCGUUUAUAAUUCGACGACCCAACGUUGAUUCUGGAUCCUCAUUUGGAGGCUUGUUGUGAAUCGAAGACUCCAGAAACCAAGAUUUUAAAGAUGAAUUUGGAUUUACAAACCGUUCCUUGGACCAUUUAGGCAAAAAGAUAAAAUUGUCCUCGGGUAUUUGAGAGUCCAUAAUAUUCUCAUAUGUCCCCUCUCUCACAGGAAGAAUGAUCCCUUCCUCUAAAGAUUGAUCUACGUCCUUCAGGAUAAUUAAACACCUUUUGGUCGAGUCAGAAUACUCAGUGAAGUGCACCAUGAUGAAAAGAAGAGUUCCUGCAAAAUAAUAAUAAUAAUAAGAAGAAGAAGAAAUAGAAAAAAAAAAAAAAACCAAAACAAAAAAAAAAAAAAAAAAAAAAAAAAAAAAAAAAAAAAAAAAAAAAAAGAAAGAAGAAAAAAAAAAGAAAGAAAGAAGAAAAAAGGGGGGGGAAGAAAAAGCAAAUGGAGAUUGAAGCCCGACGAUGACAGAGUCGAUCUCUCCUACUAGGGCGAUAGAUCUGACGGCAAAAGCCCGAUCGUCCCUAGAAGAAGCUCAACAAAGUCAUUUCUGCAAACGAAGAUCGAAGCCCGACGAUGACAGAGUCGAUCUCUCCUACUAGGGCGAUAGAUCUGACGGCAAAAGCCCGAUCGUCCCUAGAAGAAGCUCAACAAAGUCAUUUCUGCAAACGAAGAUUGAAGCCCGACGAUGACAGAGUCGAUCUCUCCUACUAGGGCGAUAGAUCUGACGGCAAAAGCCCGAUCGUCCCUAGAAGAAGCUCAACAAAGUCAUUUCUGCAAACGAAGAUUGAAGCCCGACGAUGACAGAGUCGAUCUCUCUAACUAGGGCGAUAGAUCUGACGGCAAAAGCCCGAUCGUCCCUAGAAGAAGCUCAACAAAGUCAUUUCUGCAAACGAAGAUCGAAGCCCGACGAUGACAGAGUCGAUCUCUCCUACUAGGGCGAUAGAUCUGACGGCAAAAGCCCGAUCGUCCCUAGAAGAAGCUCAACAAAGUCAUUUCUGCAAACG